GAGUCACCAAGUGUAAGUUACAUGUGUUCAAAUAAAUGAAAAGAUUGUAAAGAUAUUUGGAACGAAAAUGUAAUUAAAAAUAAAGAUUGUAUUUUGAGAAAAUGACAUGUACCAUGUAUUAUAAAGAUUGUAUUUUGAGAAAAUGACAUGUACCAUGUAUCAUGUAUCUAAGUUGAAAAAUGUAUGUAUAAAUGUAGUUGUUCCAAUAUUGUAAUAAUUAGAUUUAUAUUCUCGCUCUUGUGAUAUACCCUCGUGUAGAACUGUAUUAUGUUAUUUUUUCUAGGUGCAAUUUAAUAUAUUUGGUUUUGUUUACGCGUUGGAUGGAUAGAAAAAACUAUAUUCGUUCGGCGGGUCUGUACACGUGCCUGCAUAGCCUCCAUUGUGAAAUGGGGCAGGACAUGACAAUAGCGACAACGGUGCCGAAGGAGAAGAGAGGAAUGAGAAAAGGAAAGGAGAGAUGAGUAAGGGCAUUCUAAUCAGAUUUCUAAAAACCUAGACUAAAUUUGUAAUAUUAAAAAAAAAAAAGGCCAGAUUUACAAAAGUACAAAACCAAUAGAUUUUUUAUGCAAAUUGGCCAAACUUCUUUGCAAACUAGUGGUCAACAUGAAAUUUGUAUUUCACCAAUUUUCUAAAGCCAUAUGAUAUAGUAAAAAUCCCAUCACAAAUAAUAUAUAUAUGAUGAUAUGAUAAGUUUGAAUACAAAUAAUAUUGCUUUUUAUGACGGAUAGAAGUGUGCAUAAUCAAAUGUUAUUAUUUUCAAAUAAUAAUAUACUGAGUAUAUAGAGAAUAUUUUAUCUCAAAAUAUUUUCACUAAAAUCAUUUUUAUGUUAGUUUAUCUACCCUUUCCUCUAAUUUGAAGCUGGUGUAUAUAUAUGCUUACCCUUUAAUAGAAGAAUUUCAAUGUGUUGUUAACAUGCAGGCAAAUUCAUGCCACAUUAAAUUAUCCAUAUUAGCUAACAAAAAAAAUUUAUAUUAUAUUUAUACUUACAUAAUAAUAUUAUAUAAAAUCAGUAAUUUGUUUAACGUAGCAGUACUCUUCCCAGUUUCCCUUUACUAAUUUUCGCUUUUACUUUGAGAAAGGAGUCAGUGUGCGAUGUGGGGGUUUUGAGAGAGAGAGAGAGAGAGAGAGAGAGAUAGAGAUGUGUCCUUCUCUAGGCUUUACUAAAAGAAUGAUUGGCCAAACACUCGUGUUCGGAGGGGAUGGGCGUACCAAAACCGUACGUACCGCACAUUUAAGAGGGAUGAGAGGGAGUAUUUAUUUGCUUGCAAACUUAAUUGUCACACAUUAAUGAUGCGCAGAAAAAAAAAUAAAAGAAUAUAAACCGUUUUGCAAAAAAAAAAUAAUGUUGAUAAAAAUAAAAAUGUACAAAAUAAUGUACUGAAAUUAUAUAUAGACCAUUUUUUUAAUUUAAUUAUCCAAUCUUUGGGUAUUUAACUUUUAAUUUAUUUGAUUUAAAUUAAUAUUUACUUUAAUAAAAUUUAUAAUUACGAAAAUUAAAUAAAAUAUACUGACUAAAUCUGUAAAAUUAAAUGAUGUAUUUAAGUUUUGAAGUCCAAAAUAUCGUUGACUAACUGAAAUCAAAUAAAUUGAAAAGCUAUGUAGUAAAACAAAAAAUUUUUAAAGGUUGGAUAGUCAAAUCAGAAUGGUCUAUAGUUCAUAUUAGUUUUAUACAUUUUUAUGAAUAAUAUUACGAGCGCCUCAAAAUAUGCAACAAAAUGCUAUAAUAAGCAAGUGGCAAAUCUUUAUGACGUAACACUUGUUAGGGUCAUCUGGUUUAAGAUUUUUGAUAAUUCAAAAAUAUUAUAUUUUAUAUUUGGAAUAAUAAGCCUGUAACUAACUUCUUAAGGCAACUGGAUUGGAAGGUUGUUAAGAACUAAUAUAUUCUUAUUAAUUAACUAUUAACUAUUCAUAUCAAGCAUGAAAAGAAGAGUACCUCCCAAUUCAUAAUAAUUUAGUGUACCAACCAUCUACAAAUCAAUAAUAAUUUCACUAUUUUGCUAACACUUUUUACAAUUACCCAACUUCAACUAAAUAAUACUUAUUUGAAUAUUUUUAAUAAAAAAAUAUGGAGAAUUACCGGAAUAUUAUAAACUGUGAAUGAAACUGGCCUUAAAUUAAUAAUUUAAGAUUUUCUGUUACCAAUUUUAGCAUAUCUCUAUUUAUUGUUAGGUACAAUUUUCGGAUUUAAUUUCUUGACUUUUAGUUAAAAUUGGAUUCAUUCAGAUUCAAGUUAAAUAGUCGGAGAAAACAUUAGCGAAAUCAUUGCAGAUCUGUAGAUGGAUGAUAAGAAAUACUAUGUUAUUGUUAAUUAAAAAAUUUUAUUUUCAUACUUGAUGCGAAUUAUUAAUUUAUUAUUAAUAAAAAUAAUAAUUUUUAAUAAUUGUUUUAAUUUAAGUGUUUAGAUAAAUUAAUGAUAAAUUUAUCAUUCCCAAACCUUGAUGCCAACUGCCCCUUUUAAUAAUAGCCUAGAUUAAGAUUUUUUUUUUUUUUUUCGUUUUCCUUUGCUUACGAAGUUAACCAUCGUUGGAAGCAAAGUGUCUAAAAUCAAUCGAUCAAUCAUGCGUUUCUUUCUCAAAGCUUUUUAUUUCCUUUAACAAAAGUGGGUGUGGCAUGUGGAUGUUGUCCCCAGCCCCAACCCUAGCCCCAACGUGUUACAUGACAUAAUUAUAUACGCCCGCACGCACCCUUACUACAGCUGUGGGAUGAUCCCGUCGCCAUGAAUGGUCUUAAGCACAUAGACACAGUACAGCUGCUGUUUUUUUUUUUUUUUUUUUUUUUAAGAAAUAGAUAACACGCUACUCGUUUCGUUUAUUUCAUUUAGAAAUAAACUUAGCUGGAGAUGUAAAUCAACUAGGAUUCGAACUUGGGUCUCGGAUACCAACCACCAAGCCUUUUGCCACUUGCUCUAGGGACGGUUCGUCAGUACAGCUGCCGUUGUGUUUCACAAUUGCUUCUGACGUGUGGGGCCCGUGUGCGCGUAACACAAUAAUCCAAUGAUAAAUAUUGAUUAAUUAAUAAUAACUACACCAUCAAUUUUUUUAUUCUCUUUUUCAUUUACCAUAUUGUAAUUUCUGUUUAAAAGCGAUGUUGUAGCUUCAUUGUUCUUUAUAUAAGGGUAUAUUUUAGGAUUGAGGAUGGAAAGGGUUAAGGAUAAUACAAAGAUGAUGAGAUGGAAUUGAAAUUAGGACAGAAUAUUGGACAUUUGAUAAUAAUCUAAUUUACUGUUCGGUGCUUUUAAGAUAACACCAAGGAUUAGAUCAUUUAAUAAAAAUUCAAUUUUUGACCUAAAUUUAAUAUUUAAUUUGAAUUGAGAUAUUGAAAUUUAAAUUCAAAUUUUCCUUUUGAAAUUAAAAGUCAAAAUCUGAUAUUAAAAUUUGAACUCAAAAAUAGUUGUAAUUUUGAUCGAGUUGAAAUUUAAAUCUGAAAUUUAAAUUUGGAAUUCGAUUUAAAACCUUACUUUUGAUUAAAUUUGAAUUCUGAAUUUGACUUUGAAAUUGCAAGAGAUUUCGAUUUCAAUUUUUGAAUUCUAAGAUUGAGAAUCGGAAUCAAGAUUCAGUCUAAAUUUGAAUUGAAAAUUUGAAUCCAAAAGAUAAAUUUGAAUUUGAAAUUUAAAUUCAGCAUAUAAAUUUGAAUUUAAAAUUACAUUCAAAUUUAAAUUUUGAAUUUGAAUUCGAAUCCAAAAAUCUAAAUCUGAAUUUGAAUUCAAGAAUCUGAAUUUCAAUUUGAAAUUCGAAUUCAAACGCUGAAUUAGAAUUUGAAAUUCAUUUUAAAAAUCUUAAAUUGACUCUUGAAGUUUGAAUUACAAAUCUGAAUUUAAUUUUAAAUUACAUUUGAAAUAUGAAAUUGAAUUUGAGAUGGGAUACCUCUAGUAUUUGGAAUAGUUAUAUAUAUAACCGACUAUAACAUUUUGGACAGUAGUUAAGUCCAAAAAAUUAAGAGAGUUAUCCGUAUUAGGGUUAUUGUAAUUUUACAACAGGUGACACCCAGGGAAGCGGUACGUCAUAGUUAGUAUCAGAGUUAAUCAUCAGUCAAAAGUAUGAGAUAAAUCUCGGUUGAGUUCAGAUCAUAUAGCGAACAGAGCUGUAUGUAUUAUAUUAGUCUCGGUUGAGAUAGGUUCAUACAACGGGCAAAGUGCAGCCUUCCGACUGACAAUCGUUGUGGGUGAAAUGUAGCUCCCCGCAUGAUCGGCUAAAACAAGUGAGACGAGUCUCGCAUCGCCUAAUAUUUGUGAGUGUACUUAAGUUAUGAGGAUGGGAAGGGCUUAAAAAGAGGAGGAAUGGGACACCCUUAGAAUUUGUAUUUUGUAAUAGUCCUAUAUAUGAGAUAUAAUAGGGUUUAAGGCUCUUAACCCCACUAUAGCACUUUAGAUAGCGGUUAGACCGAAGAAAUUAAGAAAAUUAAACAUAUUGGAGCUAGAAUAAUUCUAGGAUAAAUGACCCCCGGAGAAGCGAGGCGCCUCAUGAGAUUUGAAUUCAAAAUUUGAAUUUUAAUUCAAAAUAAAUUUAUAACCUGAGUUUGAAUUUAAAAUUCAAAUUCUAGAUCUGAAUUUGAAUUCAAAACUUGAAUAUAAAAUUUAAAUUUAAAUUUUUAAUUCAAAAUUUAAAUUUUGAUUAAAAUUUAAAAUUCAAAUUUUUUAAAUUUAAAUUUAUUUAAAUUUGAAGUUCGAAUAAAUGAAAUCGGAAUUUAAAUUUAAAAUUUGAAUCCAAAACUAUGAUUUGAAUUUAAAAUUUAAAUUCAAUAUCUAACUUUGAAUUUAAUACCGAAUUCAAAAUAUUGAAUUUAAAUUUAAAAUUUAAAUUUAAAAUAUGAUUAAGUUUAUAAUUCGAAUUAAAAUCCUGUAAUUAGUAGUAGUAUUUACAUUGAAAAUGUAAGAGUAAAAAGCUUGCGUGUCUAAUCAAAUCUAACCCUAAUCUCAAACCUUUAAUUAGGUGGGAUUAAUUAGUCCUCAAGGGACUAAUUUAGUUUAAUCCAGCAACUAUACCAAAGGUAGGACUAAUGCUGGACCGAAUUUUUCUAAAUCCAAUCCUCUUCUAAUAUCAUGCCUCUCAAGUAGUAGAGAACGACGUAUACUCAAAUUCUGCUAACUAUAAUUUCAAUGAAUCUAAUCUUGAACGAUCGUAUAUAUGCUACGGUGUGCAAUAGAGUACUCAUUCAUUAGACAAAGAAAAUCACCAAAAAUUAUGUGAUUGUUGUCGAGCCUAUUCCAAUUCCAACAUAUUACACUCGAACUACAAAUAUCACAAAAUAUAUUAUAUAAAUAGAAAAGAGACUCGUUCGAUAUCUCAAUAUUGAUUAGAUUUGAAAUCUAACAAUCAAAUUGCUCAUUUAAUAAGUAUUUUCAAUAUUAUGCCAUGACAAGGACUUGACCUCCACACUUUAUAGUAGUAGAUUUUGAGUCUGAUAUGUUGGUUUAAAUGGGCCAGCAUUUUGCCCUAUGACGGGUGGUCGGGUUGGACCGAGUCACGUUCGAAAUGGCGUGAGGUUGGGCAGACCGAGUCAUGUUCGAAGUGGCAUUAGGUCGAGUGGUCCGAGUCACAAUUGAAACUUGUGGGCGUUGUAUCUGUACGCUUUCAGUGAAUUAGUUGCGUAUUUCUAACAGCUCGAAAUUUUAGGAUUAAUGGUUAAUGCCAAUGAUCCGACAAGUGAUAUCAGAGCUAGAGGUCACAAGUUCAAUUCCCGUAUGCUGCAAAUGUGUGUAAGUUCUAGAAAGAGGAUUGUUGGCUUAAAUGGGCCAGUAUCUUACCCUGUGGCGGGAGGCCGGGUUGGGCCGAGUCACGUUCGAAAUGGCGUGAGACUGGAUAAGCCGAGUCAUGUUCGAAGUGGCGUGAGGCCAAGUGGGCUGGGUCACAAUUGAGACCCGUGGGUGCCUGUAUUUGUACGCUUUAAGUGAAUUGGUUGCGUAUUUCUAACAGCGCGAGCUUUUGGGAUUAAUGGUUAGCGCCAACGAUCCGACAUAACAUGUUUACCAUUUCACAAUGUUUUAAAACUAGGUUGAAUAACAAUUCAACAAUAUUAUCAGAUCAAGGAUUACUGAUUCAACUAGUGAAAAGUGGAUGUCGUAAAUAUUUAAUUAUUAUUAAAAUAUACAUAUAUUAUUAUUCUAGUAUCAUAAUUAACUAUAAAAUUAUGAUUUUUAGACCAAAUUAUAUAGAUGUAAGCCUUCAAGUUUUACUUUUAUAAAAUUAGUUUGUGCCUACAGAAAAUAAAAUCAGCUAAGUUGAGUUUAACUCGUUGGAUGGUAAUAUGACGUGAUAAAAAAAAACCUAGUCAAUUUCAUUAAAACAGGACUGGUUCACUAGUUCGAUGGUUGAAUCGCCGGCUCAAAUGGUUCAAAAUAAUUUUUUAACUUAUUCAGGUUAAAGAAUUGAACCGAAUCAUUUCAUAGAAUGAGAUACGGUCAAAUUGGUUGAACCGGUCAUUUCAACCGGAUUUUUAAAUCAUUGCCAUUCUACCCCAUUACAAAAAGCAAAUGAAAUAUUCUCCAAUAGCAAAAAGCCGUAAUCUUCAAUACCAAUGUUUAAAAAUCGGAUCGAGCUAGUCGGUUGGACCGGUAAAAAAUGCUUUCAACCGUUCGAACCGGCAAUCCAACAAUCAAAUUGAUAAAGAAAUCCGAUUUUAAUCAAGCCAGUUAAGUUUUUUUAUCAAGUUAUAUUAAAAUCCAACGGCUUAAAAUCCACUUAGCGAUUUUACUUUUUAUUAGUAUAGAUUAGUCUUAUAGGCACUGUUUGGUUAGGGGAUAGGGAUAGGAAUAGGCCCUUAUCCCUCCCUUUAUACCCAAACGCUAAUUUUUUAUCCGAGAAUAGUAGUUCUCGGUUAUCCCCACCAACACCUCCAUUUUCUAUAUAAAACUUCCUAAUAUUUUUCUUAUCCUCGGGAACAACCUAAUUUUCAUCCAAACGCUAUUUUUCUUAUCCCCAUACUUGUACCUAUACCUGUAAUAGCUAGUUCUUGCUUAUACCCGAACCAAAUGGUACCAUAAGAUGUGAAAUUUGAAAACGUAUAUCUACUUAAUUAAAAAUAAUAAUUAUAUAUAUAUAUAUACUUGCGAUGUGAUACUCACGUUCAAUUCUUAACUAUUCACUGAUUGAACUAGUGACUUUUGAUCUAAUAAUAUUUUCGGAUGAGUUCGUGUGUAAAUUAUUGUUUUUUUUUUUUUGAGAGAUAGGUAGCACGCUAUCCGCUUUGUUUAUUUCAUUUAGAAAUAAACUUAGCUAGAAAUGUGAAUCAACUAGAAUUCAAAUUUGGGUCUCGAAUACCAACCAUCAAAUUUUUUGCCACUUGCUCUAAAGACGGUCGGCAAAUUAUUAUUAAAUACAUAAGCGUAUACUAGUACUAGUACUAGUGCUAGUACUAGUUUUGAAGGUUUUAAAUUCAUGGACAGGUGUCACGCCACAACGGAGCGUUGCGCCGAAGGAAUCUUGCAAACGCCCACAGGGGCCAACAAAACAAAUAAUUUUCCUUACUUUAUAAUAAAGUCAUGGUCUAAAAUAAUGAUGCCCUCCUGAUUAUUAAUUAAAGAUCACACGUUAGUAAGAGAAUAGGAAAGGAGAGCGCUUAAUUAAUUAUAUGCCAACUCCGUCGAUCCGUUCCGUGAGUGGAGCCCCUUCCCCCUCUUAUUAUCUGUCUAAUCUUUCGAUGAUCUUUAUGCCCCAGCCCGCCGCGAAAGCAGGGGCCGCUGUGGUGGUGGUGGUGGUGGGGAUCCGCGCCCACUUUACAUGGCACGUGCGAGCUUGUGGGCCCGCCCUAGGCACGUGUAUGCACGGAGCCAGAUGAAGGUUAUCGGGAUCUGGGCAGGAACCAUGUGCUGCGUGGGGCCCACAUGAAAACCCUCCCCACCCAUCUCUCUCCCCCGCCCCCCUCUCUCUCUCUCUCUCUCUCUCUCUCUCUCUCUCUCUCUCUCUUCCUUUACCAGUUACCUCCCUUCUUCUGGGUGAGUGUACCUCUGCAGCUCCACUUCGGCGUUCUGGUUGUAUGUUGUUUGGUUAUAUAUGGCGUUUUUGGUUGGAUGUUGUUGGUUAUAUAUGUUUAACUAGUUUAUUAAAAUUAACAUAUAUAACUAGUUUUUAUAUCCUCCGUGCUUCGUGGCGGAUCCAUAAUAUUUCAGUAAAACAACAUAUAUAAUUAUUAAAAUUUAAAAUUUAGAAAAUUUAAUAAAAAAUAAAAAAAAUUAUAUAGCCUUCUAUACUGCUAAUCUUUUUUUGAUUAAUAUUUUUUAGCUUUCAGUAUUUGUAGAGUUAGAGUAUUCUAGUAACUUCACUUAAAAAUUCAAUCAAACUUAGUAUUUUUAGUAGCUAUUCUGUAAAUAAAUUUUUAAUUAAAAAGUUAAAAUUGGAGGACUUAUUCUGAAUUAUAAAUAUAUGAUAUUAUUCUUAUCAAGUUAACAUUGAUUGGAGAAAGAAGAAAAUUAUUAUAUACACCUGGUGUAUAUCAACACACCAUACACCACAACUUAUAUUAAAUGACUAAUUUCUAAUAUCGAAACUUAAUUAAAUAUAUCUAAAUUACAAAGUCUAACAAUUUAAAUAUAUUUACUUAAUUAAAUUUUAAAAUAUCUAUUCGAUGUUUUAAAUAUGUGGUGUAUGUUUUUAUAUACAUCUUGUAUAAAGAAUGCUUAAUAGAGUGCAUUCAUAAUUCCAAGAAAAUUAAAGAGGAAAAAUCUUUACUUGCACCUAAUGUAUACUAAUAUUUCAUACACCAUAAAAGCAUAUUAGAUAAUUGAUAGAAUAUCUGAUAAUCUGAUAAUUAGUAUUAAAGAUUUUUGUGAUGUGAUGGAACGGCCAAAUUAUAUAUCUUACAGAUUUUGAAAUAUUAACAAUAAAAAAGGUUUGGUGUAUAUGAUAUUUUAAUAGAUCGGGUGCAUGCAAUAUUGUUGAAGUAGAGAAGGGAGAGAAAAGAGAACACAUGUUGCUCUGAGGGCUUAUGAUAUGACCCAACUGUCAAAUUAAUAUAUCUACUAUAGAUAGAUAAUUAUUAAAAUUUUAAGAUAAAAAAUUAUAACUAAAUAAAAAAAAUUAUAAAAUAGUGUUAUGUACAUUAAAAAAUAACUUUUAUAUUAAUAUUUUCUUAAUUUUGAAGAGUUAUAUUAUUUUAACAAUAUUAUUUAUAAAUUAAUCAAAUUUAAUAGUUUUGAAAACUGUUAUAUAAAUAACUUUUUUUAACUAAAAAUGUAAAAUUGAGGAACUUAUUUCAAAUUGCCGAAAAUGCGAAGAUGUCUUUACCUUAUUCAAAUUGAUUGAAAAUUUUUUUUCUUAUAUGCGCAUGAUAUAUAGUAACAUUUUAUACACCUCAACUUAUAUUAGAUUAUAAAUAUUUUGAUAUCAAAACUUAAUUAAACAUAUAUAAUCUACAAAGUUAAUAAUUUAAAUUCUAUUUAAAUUCUAUUUAAUGAAUUAGAUUUUAAAUAAAAAAUAACGAAAAAAAGAGUCGAAGAAUCAAAAAAAUACAAAUAAAGAAAUUUAAAAUGAAACAAUAGCUACUACAGUAAAAAUUUAAGAAGUAUAAAAAAAAAACUAUAAGAAGAAUUAUAUUUAUAGCAGUAGUAAGAGUUGAGAAUUAAAAUAUCAUAUGUCUCAUAAUUUGAGUAAGAAAUUACAACUAAUUAACAUUUAAGAUCUUAAAUAUUGUGUUCCUUUUUGAAUAUUUCAAAAGAUUCUGAAUGUAAAGUUGAUUGCCUAUAAAAGUAUAAGCAUAGUAUUGAAGUUUAAUAUUAAAACCAAAUGUAUCAUUUUGAAUCAAUUAUUUUAAUUUUCAAUUUUUUUUUUAUUAUUAAAUUUUUUAAUUUAUUUGAUUUGAGUCGAUCAACAAUAUUUUGACUUUAAAUUUUGAACGCGUCAUUUAUUUUUAUACAUUCAGUUAAUAUAUUUUAUGCAAUUAUUGUAAUUUUAAAUUUAUUAAAGUAAGUAAUUAAAUUAAACUCUAUCAAUAUCUAUUUUAAUUUUAUUGUACAAGUUAUUUUUAAGUGAUAAAUAUUGUAAAAUUAAAAUUUAUACUCAACAUAUGUAAUUUUAGUUAUAUAAAAAGUUGUGUAAAAACUUGUAGAUUAUAUAAUUUAAAUUUUAGGAGAGAAUGAGAGGAAUGAGUUGAAAAAAAAAGGCCCACUACCCCGAGAGAGAGAGAGAGAGAGAGAGAGAGAGAGAGAGAGGAGAAUUAGUGGGAAAAAAAAUCCUGCCCGAGCCACCCAAUCGCGCCCGCUCGCUUGCGCUAGAGCGUGACCUCGGUCGGCGUCCGCUCGUGCCCCUCGCGUGCGCCUGUGCCCCUUACAUGCGCCCGCCGACACCGCGCGAGACCUGCGCCCCUCACACGCGCCCACGCCUGCCCGCGCCCGACCCGCCCGUGCUGCCAUGAUAAGAACUCAACUUUUAUUAUAUCUAUAGAUCCUGGCUUAAUGAAAUGACCAAUUUGAAUAAAAAAUCUAUUAAUUUUAAAAUUUUGUAAAUAUAGAUUGUUUUUUAGAUUUACAAAUUUGAACUGAGUUAUAGAAAAUUGACCAAAAUACUCUCAUUCUGUUUUCUUUCUUUUUUUUUUUCUUCUCUUGUUCUUCUUUUUUUCUCUUCGACCCUCCUCCAUCACUACCGCGGCCCUCAGUGACAGUAACGAGGGCAUCACCGCGUCCUAUUCCUCUGCUUUAGCUGGCACCGAUGCCGGCACCAGAGGUAGAGGAUUCGGAGUGAGUGCGAGUGAGAGUAGAGCUGAUGGAGGUGAUGAGGUAGUGGCUGCAACGGUGCUUGUUGUCGCCUGUGAGGGUGAGAACGAAGAUGCACCCCGCACUUCUUCGAGGAGAGCUUUCAGUGAGGGUGGUGCUGCAGUGGAGGGUGAAGGAGAGAUCGCGAUAGCGAAAAAAAAUGUAGACGACAGAAAAAAAAUAAGAAAAAUAAUGAAUAAGAAAUAGUAAAGAAAAAUAUUUUUUUUUACAAAAGAGGCGAAGAAACAGAGAAAAAAGAAGAAGAUGAUGAAGUUGCACUGUUAAGAUGAAGUUGCACUGACAGAAGAAUUCUGCACUGUUUUAGAUGAAAGUUAUACUAUUUGAGAAAAAAAUUAUAUUCUUUUAGAUGAAAGUUAUAUUUUUUGAACGAAAGUUGUACUAUUUAGGCAAAAGUUACACCAUUUCUCCUCCUCCUUCCCCUGCACUUCCUCCUGCUUUUUCUGCACCCAUCUUCUUUUCGCCCUUCAUUUCCACCGUAGCAGAUCCGCCACCCACCAAACCCACUUAUGGAACUCGCUAUCCUACCGCCACUGUUGACGACACAGAGGAAACGCUUCUUGGCACUAAAAAUCUCGCUGGCGUGGGAGAGGGACGUAACCCACGACAUCCACUCAGGGACAACGACGUAUGCGGUGGAGACGGAGAAAAGCGCAAUGAUGCCAAAGAAGAGGGUGGGCGAGGAGAGCAAAGUUUAGGGGUUCAGCAUCGCCGCGCUUUCCUCCGUCUUCACCAUGUGCUUCGCCAUCCCCGGGUGGGUGCCGUGGGCCACAUACCCUCAUCCUUGCCGGCGAGCUUCUCGGCGCCGAGAAGUGCUUCAUCUUCAUCGCCGACGAUGGCAUUAGAGACGGUGGGUUUCCAUAAGUGGAUUUGGUGGGUGGCAGAUCUACUGUGAUGGAGGUGGAGAGCGUAGAGGAGAUGGGCGCAGUAGAAGCACAAGCAAGCGGAAGGAAAGGAGGAUAAGAAAGAGAAAAAAUAGUAUAACUUUCGCCCAAAAAGUGCAACUUUCAACCAAAAAGUGUAAUUUUUGUCUCAAAGAAUGUAACCUUCGUCUAAAACAGUACAAUAUUUUUCUCAAAUAGUGCAAUUUUAUCUAAACAGUGCAACUUCAUCAUUAUCUUCUUUUUUCUCUAGUUCUUCGUAAUUUUUGUAGAACUUUUUUUUUAACUUUUCUUUAUUUUUUUAUUUUUUAUUUUUUCUACUAUUUGCAUAUUUUUUCUAUCGCGAUCUCUCCCCCGCCCUCUAUUGCAACCACCGCCCUUGACGGAAGCACUCCUCGGAGAAGAGUGGGUGCGUUUUCGUCCUCACCCUCACAGGUGACAGCGAACACUACCUUGGCCAUGACCUUAUCGCCUCCAUCGCUUCACUCUCACCUUUGCUCGCUCCGAGUCCUCCUCCUUUGGCACUGGCGUAGGUGCCUGCAUCAACAAACGCGAAGGAAGAGGAUGCGGCGCUGCCAUUGUUACCGUUGCGAAGGGCCGCGGAGGCAGUGGAGGUGGAGGAAGAUGGGAGAGCGAAAAAAAAACAAGGGAAAAAAAGGAGAGAGAAAAGGGAAAAAGAGUUUUUUUUGUCCAUUUUUUUAAAAUCCGAUUGGACUAUGCAAAAUUCAAAAAUACAGCCUAUUUUUGAAAAAUCUCAAAAUUAGUAAUUUUUUAUGCAAAUUGGCCUAAUUAAAUCCCACCAUAUUAUUUUUUAGUGUUAUUUUUAUUUAUUAUACUAUAAAUAGUUAAAAAGAUGCUAUUAAACUAUUAAUCAAUUUCUAUAUAUAUACUAUGGUAUAGAUUUAUUUUUAAUUACUAUCUUGUAUAUAUAUAUAUAUAUAUAUAUAUAUAUAUAUAUAUAUAUAUAUAUAUAUAUUUCUAAAAGACAAUACUAAAUAAUUGUUUUCUUAUUGGUCUCUAUAUUAUAACCAACAAAUUUAUUAUUUUAGAUAAAAAUUAAUUGUUGGCGCCAUAAAAGUGACGCCACGUGGCAAACCGACUUACACCACAUUGAAGGCUUUUGGAGCCAAACGCAGAACAACACGUGGUGUGGCAAGAACUGGGGAGCACACGCCCAAAACCGAAAAUUGGUCGGGCAAGAUGCGGUUGAGAUCAGCCAAGAGUAGCCCAUAGAUUUAGUGACAUGGCUGGGACACACCCCAUAAUGGAGAAUAACUGAAUAACGGUGGGCGAGACUAUAAAUAAAUAGAAUACGCCUGCAAAAAGGGUCAUUUUCCCCUACAAACAAGAGACCAUUCUAUUUUCAGCAUUUUUCUGCUUUUCAAAAGUAGUUUACUUGUAAUCUUCACUUUCCUUGCACUUUCUACUUUUAUAGGAGUAGUUUGUUAAGAUAGAUUUUCUCGUUUAGGUAGUAGAUUUUACAGUAUUCCUAAGCGGGACUUGUCACAUGUACAUUUUCUUUUUAUUGAAAUAUAUCAAUGUCACUCGACUCAUCUCAGCCAAGUCAGUAAUAUAAUAGAGUGUACGAACUCGGCUGAGUGGAUCCCUCAUCAGUCGAUCGCUUGAUUUUGUCUGUGGCAUAUUUUGAGGGUCACCAACAAGAGUCAUCUCAUCACUUGACUCGCUUCCCGGAGCAGAGUUAGGCCAAGGCAAUGGUCUUGGAAUUUGGCUCUCAACAAUUUUUCCCACUCUCAGUGGGACACAUAUAAGUAAUUCCUUAAUUUUUUCUUUAUCUUAUGACUGACGAUAACACUAUGAACCUUCGGAAUAGAGUCAUUUCCAGGCCUUCAGGGAAUAACAAAGUUAAUAGCAUUGAAAAUGCGAACGAGUAUCAGAUAAUGCUACCAGUGGAAGGUGAGACUAGCGGACAUUCAGCUUAUCAGGAGCCGAAUCUAACUCAAGCACUCGGCUAGAUAACCCGAGUCUUGCAAAUUCUAAAUCAAAAUAGUCAUCAAAGCACUGCGUGACUAGACACAGUGUUGGUCGCAAUCAUGGCCUUCAAUAAAUAUAUUGCCCGAAUAGGGUAGCUGUUAGUGCGCAAUGAGCAACCUUAUGGAGGUCUACAAGGACCGCCAACAAUGCCAAUGCCACAAGAUCCUGUUACACCGGCAGUCGCACAAGCGCAACCCCAAACCACACCGUUCCAAGUUGCGUAUAGACCGGGGAACUGUCACGCCACAAGGCCUAAAGCAGUGCCUUCUUUUUUUUUACAAAUCAGAGUUACGAAAAUAUAUAUAUAUAUAUUUUAAAAAAUAGCCUGACCCACGUGACGUACAGACCUGUAACAAAUACAAAGUUCUUCUGCCCACACGGACAGAGUCUUCUUUAUAUUUGCACGGCGUACCCUACGAUAACAAUAAUAGGAUCACAACUCACAACCUACCUUCACCAAUCCACAAGCAAUUGAUGCGAUGCAAUUCCAUACAGCUAGCCAUCCUUAAAGAUGAUGUAUCCCUCUAAACACUUCUUAGGCGUUGGAUGAUGCUGUAACAUACCACAUCCCUCGUAAAUCAUGCCGAGUUCCGUCAAAACGAGCGGAACGCGGAAUUGAACGAGUUAGAAUGGACCCUGAGCACAUUAGGGCUCAUAGGAGAAGCAAAAAGGGAUCCGAGAGAGAGAAUCAGAAAAUCUGGUUAAGUCCCAGAUUUUGUGCUCUCGGGGACCGGUCCCUGAAGGAGAGACCGGUCCCCGUACGCGUAGCCUGCCAAGAAGUCUUGAGGCAACCGGUCCCUGGUGGUGAGACCGGUCCUCGGGAGACCAGUCCCUGAAGGGGCAGACCGGUCCCUCGCUGCGCAACAGCCAAAAUACCCGAAAAUUUGGCUAAGUCCUUGAACACCCACGUUUGCGAACCGGUCCCUGGUCGGGGAGACCGGUCCCCGAAGGCGAAAAAUGCCCAGUCUGGGCAGAUCAAGGGGAAACAAGUUGAGGGGUUUAAAUGCAAUUGUCACAACACUAUAUGUGGACACCCCUCUCUCUCCCACACCCAUUUUCACCCUUCUCUCCCAUUUCCUCUCUUCCUCUCUCUAGAACUCUUGCUCUAGGGCUUGGAGAAGAAGAAGAAGGAGCAAGGGAAGGUGGAUUUGGAGGCUUUGGUGGGUUCUACAAGCUCUCCUACAAGAAGGACUUGGAGGGCUUGGGCUAAGGUGAGUUUUUGGUAGAAAUGAGUCUAGGGCUUGGUUUUAAUCCCUAUGUUUUGGAGCUUUGGAUUGUUUUUGGCCAUGGGAGCCUUCUAUAUGCCUUGAACUCCAUGGAACCCAUGAGAGCUCAAGUACUCUCAUGGUGGUUGGGUAGGGUUUGUCAUGGAAGCCCUAGGGUUGGUUCCAAGGGUCUAGAAACCUUACUAGGAUGCUUCUUAGAUGAUCCUAAGCUAUUGUUUGCUUAAGGUUGGGAUCGAUUCAUGGGAAAACCCUAAAUGACAAUAUUAGGGCUUGAAUUUGGGGCUUUUGCUCUAGGAUUGUUCGGGGACAAAUUGACCUCGUGGAAACCUAAUUGGGGGUGCCCUAAACACGUUGGGCAACUUCGUUUAACAUUACAAAAAUGAUAGAGUAUAGUCCAUGUACAAAAGGCCUAAUAUGGCACCGUUUUGAUUAUAGGGUGCGGAAGCGGCUUUUGUAAAACCCGGGAGUUGUCAUAUACUUCACCCACACGAUUACUAGAGAUGGGGGGUGCACGCCGGAAUCGUUGGAUUCCCUUCUAUGUCUGUUUUCUGUACUCUUGAGCAUAUAUGUAUAGAUAUACCCAUUCAUGCAUAGUAGGGUAGAUACAUGUGGAACUUGGUUUGACUUCAUUUAUAUGUUCCUAACGUAGUUGAACAUAGUGGACGAUAGAACCAAGAGGACAUGUGUGAUUGGACCCUCAAGUUGUGUGAAUGUGAGGUUGGACUUGGACAAUAGAAAACAAGGGUGACAUUGACAUAGAAACAAGAUUGGCAUUGAGAAAUAAACCGUUAAAUCUAGUUUAACCAAAUUAUGGCAUCAUCACGGAUAUGGCCUUGAGAGUGGCAAGAAUGAAUAGGUAGAGACCUACCAUGACAUCGACAUUGUGACCAGUGGCUAUGAAUCCUCAAGUUGGGGAUUAGAUCGAUGCUCACAUUACGUCUUGGCUUGAGGGAGGUCGCUCCCUCUCGAGCGGUGCGCUCCGAAGUUGGUCACCACUGGGCGAGGUAAAGUCCCACCAGUUGACGGUCCCUAGGGAGGUUCGAGUCCCCCGUUAUUAAGGAAUUUUGGGUUGUGAGUUAUUGGGGUUAACAGAGUUAACCGGUAAGAUUGGGUAAGAGCCAAAGCUUGAUUAUGGUUGGAGCAUGCAUGCAUUUCUAUUAUCGCAUUGAAAUUAUAUAUCUACUAACUUCUUUCUUGCAGGCAUAGUAUUAGUUGCAUUAGUAGUGGUUACUUUUCCUCCUUUGAAAUACUUAUGCCUGGAUGGACCUAGUGGGUAAGUCGGCGAGGUCAGAUGCCGAGCCCACUGGGAACUUCGUUGUAGUUCUCACACCACUAACCCUACAGGUCCUAGCACGAGCGGGGCGGCGGAGGACCGAGGCAAGGGUUUAGCGCCGUAGGUAGCGGCCACCGGAGUAGCAUUAUAUUUUGUAGUUAUUUCCCUUUUGGUGUACAUGUAGCAGCUUUAUUUUGUUGAAUUAGAGAUGUAAAGUUGUAAACAAUCAUGUAUUUGGUGGAUGACUAAAUGUAAAAGAUAUGAUGGUUGAAUGGAAUGUAAUAGUUUCGUUUACUUGAAUUUGGUUUAAAUGAAAUCAAAUAUCAUGUGUGAUGUAUAUUUGGCUUAGAGCUUUCGUUUUCGUUGUGGCUUGCCCUCGCGCAAGCCUUGUAUUAUAUAUGCAAUUCUCUUGUUGAUUGCCUAUUUAUACAUGUUGUUAGAGCCUUGGGCGAACAGGAGAGGCUCUGUCCGUUCGGCGUCUAUUGACGUGACCCGAACCCGACCAAAUUGGCGGGGAUUGGGGCGUGACAGAUGCGAUGCACAUUACAACAAUCAUCCUAUUCAAAAGUACUCCCCACCUGGAAGCUUUAUUUUUAAACUCUAUUUGUUCAUCCAUAAAAAUCAUUCGAAAUUCUUUUAAAACUGUUUCCCACACGAAAACUUAAUCUUCGAAAACCGACUACCUUGAGAGGUAGGAAACCACAACGCAUGAAUACAUAAAUCCAAAUACCAAAGAUUCGUAAAACUUCGAUUACAUGCAUAAUAGAAAACACCAACUCAUACAAGUUCACGAUUAUUCAAGCAAUAACAGUGAUCAUCUAACAGAACCAUUUCAUUAUUUGAACUAUUAAAUACGAAAAGAAAAAUAAUUAGGGUGACAACUGCUAAUGCAGUCUAGCUAGGACGUCCUCCCGACGCGCCAAGAAUCAAUUCCUCACUCGUGUCACCUGGGGAAAUAAGGGGGUGAGAAACCACAACAAGGUUAAUUUUCCACUGGGUACUAUAGAGCGACAAAGGCAAAUCGUAUUCAUUGAAAAACAAAGGAGAUAGAACAACAGGUAUACAUGAAUAUGACAUGAUACAUAAGCGAACAACAGUAGUAAUAUAAACAGGAUAGUAAAUGAGCAACAACCAAACUACUACUGUAACAGAAACUCAACUGAACAGAUGCCUCAAGGAUAAAUAAUCCAAAUAAAACUCAAUCUGGUGCCUGCCAUAUUGGUCCGCAGACCUCGAGCGUUGUCUGUCACAAUGCAUACACUAACCUGAUUCACGUGUCCACUGACGACCUAUCCGGAUAAGUAUACCCUGGUCGGUGGCCAAAUCGACCUGGUGUCUAGGAAUAUACACAGUGCUGUGAGUAAAUCAUUCUGAUAUGCUCAAUGCGAAAGCCGACAAAAAAUCGGUGCCUUGGCCGAAGCCAGAUAUAAGGGCGUACGACGCCGAACCAUGAUCAACCAGAUCGAGACACACGACAAAAGAGUCGAUGUAUUGCCUAGACCCGAGGUCCACAUAUAUACUGUAAGGAAGUGAAUUCUCGAAAUCUGAGAGUUGGACUUCGUCCAGGAUUGAUUACUUAUCGAGUGGGUACCCUUCGAAAAAGCCGAAGAUGUCUAAAACCCAAAAAGUGCAUUGGAGUUGAGUCUACGAGAGCAAAUAGUGCAAAAUCUGCACUUGGCAGAUUCUGCUCUCGGGGACCGGUCCCUGGCGGUGGGGACCGAUUCCCGUAAGCAGGAAUUCUGGCAGAGAAGGGUCUGCGCAAAUCUGCUCUCGGGGACCGGUCCCUGGAAGGGAAGGACCGGUCCCCGUAGCUGGUGGUUGCGGAGGACCCGUGAUGCAACCGGUUCUCGGCCAGAAGGGCUGGUUCCCGUACACGUAAUCUGGCUGAAGGCUCUCGGGGACUGGUUCUCCCGUUGAGGGAUCGGUCCCUCCGCGCAAAAUCUACCAAGGCAUAGCAACUUGAUAGAGGUAAAGUUGAGGGGCUUGGCUGCAAUUAUGCCCUAGUUAGAGAGUAUAGAGAGCAAAGGGCUCUCUCUCUCUCUCAUUUCCACCCUCACACUCUUUCUCUCCCUCUCUCUCUCUAGAAAGAAAAGAAGAAGGAGAAGGAAGGAGAAGAAGAAGAGGAAGAAGGAGAAGGAAAGAAAGGUGGAGAAGAAGAAGGAGAUCAAGGAAAAGGCCUUGGACACCUUCACCUCCCUCUCCUCUCCCCUUUGGUGUAGCUUAAGAGGUAAGCUACUAACCCUAGCAUGGUAAAACUUAGGGUUUUGGGUUUUUGGCUUUUGAGAUGAGGUCAAAUGGACCUCUAACACCCUUAAUGAUGGAUUAGAGCUAGAAUCUAGGGUUCUAUGGUGCUAGUUGCAUGGUGUAACCCUAGGGCUCCAAAUUGGUGGUCUUUAAUAAAUGAUGAGAUUGAUCUCAUUUGAUAGCUUGUAAACCUAAUUGAUAGGUGUCUAAACGCGAGGGCGAAGUCGGAUUUUCGAUUCGUUUAGCGGGUGAAAAGCUAUCGGUGAAAUAUAGCCGAUUGAGCACCGUUUUGGACCAAGGAGGCCGAGACAUCGUCGUAACAUUCGUUAGGGAGCGUUUCUAGAACCUUCGUACCCUCAAAAGGUGGGGGGUGUUGUCCCGAAGCAACCGAGCUCUUUUCUAUGUCUUAGAAAUACAUGAAUUUCAUCUCUUGCAUGUUGCAUUGUAGGAUUGCAUUGUAGUACCUUAUCCUUAUGCUUCUAAAUGUUAACCUAGUGUGCAUGGAAUACUUGGUAAAAUGGAUAGGUAAGGAUUGGGUCGGAACAUGGAUCCUAUAGUGCCAAAAGAAAGAGAUGAACUCGAUGGUUAUUCAGUGACAUAGAGAGUGGCAUUAAUAUAGUGUACUUGACACUAGAGGUUUAUGAACUUAGGGAUAGGUGGAUUCCCUAGUAAAUGACUCGUGAACAAUGAACUUAGUAUAGCUAAGUAAUUAUGCAUGAAUGUCGGAAUAGAUGAGUUCCGAGAGAAUGUUGGCCCUAGUUUGUAGGAUAUCCUCACGUGGAGAGGAUAGAUCAAGCUCACGGUCUGUUAUUUGGGGUGUUAGAGCCAUCCAUAUCCUCACAUGGAGAGGAUUUGUCGUCGAAUACUUCGGAGUGUCGGGCGAUUAGGACAGAGUUGAUGUCCACAGACAGUCCCGGGUUCGGGGGCACAUGGAGUCUCCUUACCCUAUGGGAUGGAUAUGUGAGGGUAGGCAAAUCCAAGGGUUUCGCCACAGAUUGGGUAAAUGAAAAGUUAAUAUUGUCAUCGAACAUUGCUUAUCGAACAUGGAUCGAACUUGUUAGCAUAAUAGUAAACUUUUACUAAAUGAUGCAUGCAUUCAUUUCACAUGAUUAUGGGCAUAGUAGCAUAGUUUUCCUAUUAUGUCUUUACAGCUUUGAUAUACAUAUAUCUAUCUGUUUCGUUGUUACUUUUGCCCACUUGGACCUAGUGGGGAGAUCGGCGGAGUCGGCGGCCGAGCCCACUGGGAACUAUGGAAGAUAGUUCUCACCCCACUUUAUUUCCAGGGCUAGGUACAGGUUUGUCGGGCGAGGGCCACGGCAAGGGCAUCGCGCUCGACCAAUAAGGAUUAUUGGUAGAGUAGUAGUUUUCCUUUCGCAUUAGCACACCUAUGUAUUUGAGAGAGAUUCAUGUAGGUGAGGACUUUGGAGGGCUAUGUACUUGAUGAGCAUGUAUUCAUUUUGGGAAAGAAAAUGUAAUCGUAUAAGGAAUGCAAAUGUGAUGUAAUAGUUAGUAGUUCUCUCUUUAUUUCACUUGUGUAUCUUGUGGAUUACUUUCUCUUCGUUGUUGGCACUAUUUGUGCCCCGUUGAUCGUGUAUGUACGAAUUUAAUUUUUUGGAUAAAUUCUUGUACAUAAUCAGGUUGUGAGCCUUGGGCGGGCAGGGGAGUUGCUGCUCGUUCGGCGUUCGUUCGCCGCGCCCGAACCAUGCCAAAUUGGUAGGGGUUUCAGGAUGGGGCGUGACAGUAUGUGGUAUCAGAGUGAUAACAGCAAGUAAAGAGAGAAAGUCUAAGAUGACCUAGAAGACCCUAGGUUGGUAAACCCUAAGGCUAUAGGUGCGUGAGUGGAACGUGAACCUAUACCGGUGGCAGAAGUGAUUCAAUUGGGUCGAAAUUAAAGUUGUGUCUCUAGUAGCGACUAGAGGUAGAUUCAAGUUGUGUGAGUUCUUGUCGUAAGGUGGUUGUGUUGGCGGCCGACGACAUGAUACCGAGAGUCUAGAAUGAGUACGCUUGUGUGCUUCCUCCCGAUUUUUUUGUUGUUGGGUCGUUAUGUGCCGUAGUCGCGACAAAGUAAUCGAGUUAAGAUAAUUAACCAAGUAAUUGCGUUUCAGGAGCAAAUGGCACCAAGGGGACGCCCAAGUAUGAGAUCUACUCCGGCACCGCCUCCUGAGGUGCCCGAGCAUGCUGAACCGAGUGUGAUGGAUCGGUUGCAGGCGCAAGUGACCGCAUUGACCAAUGUGGUGCAGCGCCAGGAGAGCCAUUUUGAACGACUCCAGGAGCUCUUAGAGCGGCAAGCUGCGGUGGCGGCUGCAACGGCGACGGGCGAGCGUGAUGUACCCGCACCUCAACUCGUGUACCAAAAGCGGUGGAGGGUGAGGGUAUAGCGGCGGUUCCGGUGACGUCACGUCCACCGCCGGCAAUUGUUCCUCAGGCGGCGUCGGGAUCGGCGACACCCGAUGUGACGGCCGAAGACGUGGAAGGAGAGCGCGCGUUGGCUGCUCUUAUCAAGUUCAAGAAGUUCAACCCGCCCAUCUUCGAAGGGGAGAAGGUGGAGCCAGCUAUGGUCGAGUCUUGGAUCGACUUGAUGGAGACUCUCUUCGAAGAUUUGCAUACCUUGGAGAGAGAUAGGGUGUAUCUCGCCACCCAUUGCUUGGAGAAAGCGGCGAAGGUCUGGUGGAAGCGCGUCAAACGGGAUCGACUUUCCGACCUUCCGCCGAUGCUGUAGGAGGAGUUCAAGAGGGCGAUGUUCGCCAAUUAUUUCCCCGACACAUUGAAGCGGAAGCUCCAGGAGAAGUUCCGCAAGUUGGAGCAAGGGGACCGCUCAGUAGCGGAGUAUAAGCAAGAGUUCUCCUACAUCAUUAACUGUGUCCUGGAUGUGGUACGAGAUGAUCGGGACCGGGCUGACUGGUUCUUACGAGGACUUCGGCCGGGGAUCUAUAAGGCCGUGCAUAUACUUAAACUCACGACCUUCGCGGAGGUCUUCGACCGAGCACUCUGAGCGGAGCAUGGUGACGCCCAUGUUCGGGAGAAGCGUGAGAUGUUGGCCGAGUCCAAGGACAAAGGCAAGAAGCGUCAAGGCGGCGGUUCGGGAGGACAAGCACGUUCCAAGAAGCCCCCGAAGUAUCCGCGGACUCAGCCAAAGGGCAGUGGAGCACGACGAUGCGUCAUAUGUGGUGGAGACCACCCGGUGUCGCAUUUUGACCAGCGCCAAGGCAAGUGCUACAAGUGCGGGCAACCGGGGCACUUCAUACGAGAUUGCCCGGGAGGAGGAGCCUCACAUGCCCCGUCCACUGCAUUGGCGCCGGCAAUUCCGGCCCACUAUAGAGAAGUUCCACCGACGGCCGUGUCGGCGGGACGUGCGAUGAUGCCGCGCCAGCCCGAGAUGGCGCGAUCGGCCCCGAGCGGACGGGUGUUUGCCGCUCAAGUGCAAGCCGAGGAGCCUGCGAAGGCGGAGGAGCAUCGCCUUGUGGCAGGUAUGAUUUUAAUUAAUGGAGUUCGCUUCAGGGCUAUGUUUGAUACAGGAGCUAUGCAUUCAUUUAUCAGUAGAUCAUUCGCACGCAUGUAUGACAUACUCAUAGAGGCGAGUGACAAGUGGCGAGUUGAGGGCCCUGGGUCGACAUUUAAUACCUACACGGAAUGCUCAUCGUGUCCAGUACAAGUAGGUGACUGGAUAAUGCCCAUUAGGAUGGUAGAGCUCAAGAAUCAGUUCGAUGUCAUAUUGGGCAUAGACUGGCUCUCGAAGUAUCACGCAACGAUCGACUGCAAGAGCAGAGUGAUUACAUUUCGUGAGCUAGGACAGAAGGAGUUCAUUUAUCGGGCUUGUCAGAGCUCGUGCUUCCCCGCGACGGUAUCGGCGACGACAGUAAGAAAGUUGGUCAACAGCGGUUGCGUAGCGUUCUUGGCAACUGUUGUAGAAGUGGAUCGAGUGACUCCCACUUUGGAGGAGUUAUCGGUAGUGUGGGAGUUUCCGGAUGUGUUUCCCACGGAGUUACCGGGGAUACCGCCGGAUCGGGAGAUCGAGUUCGUCAUAGACUUGAUUCCCGACACUGCACCGAUUUCGAAGGCUCCGUACCGAAUGGCGCCGGCGGAACUGAAAGAGUUGAGGAGUCAGUUACAGGACCUCCUCUACAAGCAAUUUAUUCGGCCGAGUGUAUCACCGUGGGGAGCCCCGGUGUUGUUUGUGCGAAAGAAAGACGGAUCGUUUCAACUCCGUGUGGAUUAUCGAGCGUUGAACAAAGUCACGAUCAAGAAUAAGUACCCACUUCCCCGAAUCGAUGAUUUGUUCGACCAGUUGCAGGGGUCGUGUGUGUACUCAAAGAUAGAUUUACAGUCUCGCUACCACCAACUGAAGAUCAAGCCGAAAGAUGUGCAGAAAACUGUGUUUCGCACGCGGUAUUGGCACUAUGAAUUCACGGUCAUGCCAUUUGGACUCACGAAUGCUCCAGCGGCGUUCAUGGAUUUGAUGAACCGUGUCUUCAGGAAGUAUUUGGACCGAUUUGUCGUGGUCUUCAUAGACGACAUAUUGGUCUAUUCUCGAAGUGAUAAGGAACAUGCUGAGAAUUUAAGAUUAGUGCUUCAAGUCCUUCGGGAGGAGAAGCUAUAUGCUAAGUUAAAGAAGUGUGACUUUUGGCUCCGAGAAGUCGCAUUUCUAGGGCAUGUAAUUUUCGAGGGUGGAGUUUCUAUAGACCCGAGGAAAGUUGAGGCGGUCAAGGAUUGGCCGCGCCCGACUAAUGUCACGGAGGUUCGAAGCUUCGUGGGCUUGGCGGGCUACUAUAGACGGUUCGUUGAGGGCUUCUCUAAGAUAGUAAUUCCACUUACCCAUCUGACUCAAAAAGGCACCAAAUUCGUUUGGAGCGAGGAGUGCGACCGGAGUUUCAAGGAGUUGAAGGAAAGGCUAACUUCGACUCUGGUACUCGCUUUACCGGUGCAAGGUGAAGACUUUGUAGUCUAUAGCGACGCUUCCUAUCUAGGAUUAGGGUGUGUUUUGAUGCAGGGCGGGAAGGUAAUCGCUUAUGCGUCCCGUCAGCUGAAGAGCUAUGAAAAGAACUACCCCAUUCACGACUUGGAGCUAGCGGCGGUAAUCUUCGCCUUGAAGCUGUGGAGGCACUACCUGUACGGUGCCCAUUGUGAGAUCUAUACCGACCACAAGAGUCUAAAAUAUCUGUUUAUACAGAAAGAGCUCAACAUGCGACAGUGGCGGUGGUUAGAACUACUAAAGGAUUAUGAUGUGGACAUCCUUUACCACCCGGGGAAAGCUAAUGUGGUCGCGGAUGCGCUCAGCAGAAAGUCAGCAGAGAACCUCGCUAUGUGGGUUACAAAUCAAACACCCCUAUGGCUGGACAUAGAGCGAAUGAACCUGGAGGUGGUUGCUUCGGAGAUUCCGACUCAGCUGAUGGCGCUCGUUGUCCAACAGACCUUGUUGGAGAGAAUCAAGAAUCUGCAACCCGCGGACUAAGAACUCCAAAAGGUGCGGCGCUACCUCGAGAAGGGUCGUGGCGGCGAUUUCAUGAUAGACGCCAAUGGUGCACUUCGAUUCCGAAAUCGAUGGUGUGUGCCGAAUAAUGAGGAGAUCCGAGGGCUAAUCUUGCAAGAGGCACAUUGGUCGCAUUAUUGUGAUCACCCGGGCGACACCAAGACGUAUCAGGGAUUAAAAAUGCACUAUUGGUGGCCGGGAAUGAAAAGCGAUAUUGGGCGCUUCGUGGUGAAAUGUUUAGUAUGCCAACAAGUGAAAGCGAAGCGCCGAUUUCCAGCGGGUAAGCUUCAAAGCCUACCAAUCCCCGUUUGAAAAUGGAAAGAUAUAUCGAUGGAUUUCGUGGUCGGCUUGCCUCGCUCAACGGGCAGCCACGAUGCAAUUUGGGUAAUUGUGGACCGAUUGACGAAGUCGGCUCACUUUUUGCCGAUCCACACCACGUGGGCAGGCGACAAGUUGGCGCAGGUGUACCUUGACGAGAUAGUGAGACUGCACGGGGUGCCGAAAUCGAUCGUGUCGGAUCGCGAUCCCCGGUUCACUUCACACUUUUGGAAAAGCCUGCAGGAAGCCCAUGGCACAUAGCUCGAUUUUAGUACAGCAUUCCAUCCUUAGAUAGAUGGGCAAACAGAAAGGACCAUUCAAACUCUGGAGGAUAUGCUGCGGGCGUGUGUCAUCGACUAUAGUGGGAAUUGGUGUGAUCAUUUGCCGAUGGCCGAGUUCGCCUACAACAACAGUUAUCAUGCUAGUACAGAGAUGGCACCAUUCGAGGCUCUUUAUGGGCGGAAGUGUCGGUCUUCUAUACACUGGAGCGAUGUGGGUGAGCGUGCAGAGUUCGGCCCAGACGUGUUGCGAGAAGCGGAGGAGAAAGUCCGCCUUACUCGCAAGCGAUUGCUCACGGCGUAGUCGAGACAGAAAAGCUAUGCUGAUAGGCGCCAUCGAGACAUAGAAUUUGCGGUGGGUGACCGCGUAUUCUUAAAAGUUUUGCCAAUGUGGGAUGUGAAGCGAUUUGGAGUGCGGAGAAAGUUAAGUCCCCGGUACAUUGGACUAUAUGAGAUAUUGGAGCGAGUAGGCAUGGUGGCCUAUCGACUUGCCUUGCCGCCGAAGCUUGCGGAUGUACACAAUAUGUUCCAUGUCUCUAACUUUCGCAAGUACAUUCAUGACCCCGAGCACGCAAUGCUAUAUGAGCCGCCGGAACUCGAAGAGGACUUGAGCUACGAGGAGUUUUCGGUGAUGGUUAUCGCCCGAGAAGUGCGAAAGCUGUGAAAUCGCAAGAUUCCCUACGUGAAGAUCCGGUGGAGCAAUUAUGAUGGUCGCGAGGCCACCUGGGAACUCGAGGAUCUGAUGAGGAAGCAUCAUCCUCACUUGUUUGAGAAAUAAUGUAUGGAAACUGAGUUUAAAUUAAGUUGAAUUAGUUUUGAGGAUGAAACUCCUUUUAAGGAGAGGACGAUGUAAGGAAGUGAAUUCUCGAAAUCCGAGAGUUGGACUUCGUCCAGGAUCGACUACUUGUCGAGUGGUACCCUUCGGAAAAGCCGAAGAUGUCUAAAACCCAAAAAAUACAUUGGAGUUGAGUCCACGAGAGCAAAUAGUGCAAAAUCUGCACUUGGCAGAUUCUGCUCUCGGGGACCGGUCCCUGGCGUCGGGGACCGGUUCCUGUAAGCAGGAAUUCUGGCAGAGAAGGGUCUGCGCAAAUCUGCUCUCUGGGACCGGUCCCUGGUAGGGAAGGACUGGUCCCCGUAGCUGGUGGUUGCGGAGGACCCGUGAUGCAACCGGUCGCCGGCCAGAGGGACCGGUUCCCGUACGCGUAAUCUGGCUGAAGGCUCUCGGGGACCGGUCCUCCCGUUGAGCGACCGGUCCCUCCGCAUGAAAUCUGCCUAGGCAGAGCAACUUGAUAGAGGUAAAGUUGAGGGGCUUGGCUGCAAUUAUGCCCUAGUUAGGGAGUAUAGAGGGCAAAGGGCUCUCUCUCCCUCUCUCAUUUCCACCCUCACACUCUUUCUCUCCCUCUCUCCCUCUAGAAAGAAAAGAAAAAGGAGAAGGAAGGCGAAGAAGAAGAGGAAGAAGAAGAAGGAAAGAAAGGUGGAUAAGAAGAAGGAGAUCAAGGAGAAGGCCUUGGACACCGUCACCUCCCUCUCCUCUCCCCUUUGGUGUAGCUUAAGAGGUAAGCUACCAACCCUAGCAUGGUAAAACUUAGGGUUUUGGGUUUUUAGCUUUUGAAAUGAGGUCAAAUAGAUCUCUAGCACCCUUAAUGGUGGAUUAGAGCUAGAAUCUAGGGUUCUAUGGUGCUAGUUGCAUGGUGUAACCCUAGGGCCCCAAAUUGGUGGUCUUUAAUAAAUGAUGUAAUUGAUCUCAUUUGAUAGCUUGUAAACCUAAUUGAUAGGUGUCGAAACGCGGAGGCGAAGUCGGAUUUUCGAUUCCUCGAACGGGUGAAAAGCUAUCGGCGAAAUAUAGCCGAUUGAGCACCGUUUUGGAUCAAGGAGGCCGAGACAUCGUCGUAACGUUCGUUGGGGAACGUUUCUAGAACCUUCGUACCCUCAAAAGGUGGGGGGUGUCAUCUCGAAGCAACCGAGCUCUUUUCUAUGUCUCAGAAAUACAUGAAUUUCAUCUCUUUCAUGUUGCAUUGUAGGAUUCCAUUGUAGUACCUUAUCCUUAUGCUUCUAAAUGUUAACCUAGUGUGCAUGGAAUACUUGGUGAAAUGGAUAGGUAAGGAUUGGGUCGGAACAUGGAUCCUAUAGUGCCAAAAGAAAGAGAUGAACUCGAUGGUUAUUCAGUGACAUAGAGAGUGGCAUUAAUGUAGUGUACUUGACACUAGAGGUUCAUGAACUUAGGGAUAGAUGGAUUCCCUAGUAAAUGACUCGUGAACAAUGAACUUAGUAUAGCUAAGUAAUUAUGCAUGAAUGUCGGAAUAGAUGAGUUCCGAGAGAAUGUUGGCCCUAGUUCGUAAGGUAUCCUCACGUGGAGAGGAUAGAUCAAGCUCACGGGCUAUUAUUCGGGGUGGUAGAGCCAUCCAUAUCCUCACAUGGAGAGGAUUUGUCGUCGAGUACUCCAGAGUGUCGGGCGAUUAGGACAGAGUUGAUGUCCACAGAUAGUCCCGGGUUUGGGGGCACAUGGAGUCUCCUUACCCUAUGGGAUGGAUAUGUGAGGGUAGGCAAAUCCAAGGGUUUCGCUACAGAUUGGGUAAAUGAAAAGUUAAUAUUGUCAUCGAACAUUGCUUAUCGAACAUGGAUCGAACUUGUUAGCAUGAUAGUAAACUUUUACUAAAUGAUGCAUGCAUUCAUCUCACAUGAUUAUGGGCAUAGUAGCAUAGUUUUUCUAUUAUGUCUUACAGCUUUGAUAUACAUAUAUCUAUCUGUUUCGUUGUUACUUUUGCCCACUUGGACCUAGUGGGGAGAUCGGCGGAGUCGGCGGCCGAGCCCACUGGGAACUAUGGAAGAUAGUUCUCACCCCACUUUAUUUCUAGGGCUAGGUACAGGUUUGCCGGGCGAGGGCCGCGGCAAAGGCAUCGCGCCCGACCAGUGAGGAUUAUUGGUAGAGUAGUAGUUUUCAUUUUGCAUUAGCACACCUAUGUAUUUGAGAGAGAUUCAUGUAGGUGAGGACUUUGGAGGGCUGUGUACUUGAUGAGCAUGUAUUCAUUUUGGAAAGAAAAAUGUAAUCGUAUAAGGAAUGCAAAUGUGAUGUAAUAGUUAGUACUCUUUUUAUUUCACUUGUGUAUCUUGUAGAUUACUUGCUCUUCGUUGUUGGCACUAUUUGUGCCCUGUUGAUCGUGUAUGUACAAAUUUAAUUUUUCUGGGUAAAUUCUUGUACAUGAUCAGGUUGUGAGCCUUGGGCGGGCAGGGGAGUUGCUGCCCGUUCGGCGUCCGUUCGCCACGCCCGAACUGUGCCAAAUUGGUAGGGGUUUCGGGGUGGGGGCGUGACAUAUACAAUAUAUGCAAGUCUGCUCUACUUGUCUACGAACAACUAUCACUAUGCAACUAUCAGGAUAUAGAGAAAUGAACGAUAAAUAAAGGCAACCAACAUGUAGAGACUAAAAUACUGAUUUACAAGUGCAAUACUAAGGAAAAGGAAAGUGAAACAAUUUCACCGACUACCAGCUCGAAGCACCCACCUAUACCAUAUGAAGUACACGGUUUGUCAACCGCUUGUCGCUGUCUUCUGCUAUCAUCCGGGCCUAUGCAUAGUUGCAAACGAAGCCGUAAUUAGCCUAACCCACUAGUUACCCAUAAGACAAGACUCUGAGUGAGUCCAACCAUUGGACAAUCGAAUUUUCGGAUUUCAGCUAACGGUCACUAAAAGAUAGCCUGAUUGUCACCCCAACUCGACAGAAUGUUGCACCAACACCAGGGGCGACCCGAAGUAAGACCCAUAGCUAUUCUACACUGCCCGCUAUCCCAAAGCAUCAUUUUAGUGUCCUUGGGACAGCCACACAAUGUGUGCGCUAAAAUUGAAUGUCGGGGCUUUGAAAAUUAGCUGUUUGUAUAUUUGGUCUCGGAACCCUCCAUGGCUUUCUUGCUGUAAUCCAGGGGCUCUAACCUUCCCCCGGCACUUCGCAAAUCAGCCACAAACCUGCUGCAAACAGCAGCAACAAAUACGACACUAGAUCGCACCCGAAAUCGCCCGAAAUUCACGUUAUCGAGCUUCGUUGAGCCCCGAAGCAUGCUGAAGUAUUCUAGAUUUAAUCCUAGCUUACUUGCUAUCCUGAAACACUCGUCUUUGGGUGUCGGAACAACAGCACCUCGUUUGGUGCAAGAGCAACUGGUCCAAUGCGGUCUAUGCCGCGACCGGGGUCCCGAUUAUUGCCGUUUUGGCUCCGGAAGACCCCGAAUCGCAAAGCGUCGAUUCAUGAGCGAGGACUUCGGCCCCAGAUCUUUAGAGUGGUGCACCCCUUCUAGAUCAAGAAGUUUGUUGAGGUGUUGGACAGGGCUCUUUGGGUGGAGCAUGGGAAUGCGUUCGCGCGUGAGGAGCACGAGGCAUUUGAAAAGGACAAGGGGAAGAAGCGAACUACGAGCAUUUCGGGGGGACAGUCGAGUUCCAAGAGGCCCCCGAAGUACCCGCGAGCACAGUCCAAGGGUCCAGGACCCCUACGAUGCGUUAUUUGUGGCAGAGAGCACCGACCGAUAAAUUGCAAGCAGCGAGAGGGGAGAUGUUUUAGAUGUGGUCAGAUGGGACACUUCAGCCGUCAGUGCCCAGGAGGGUCCUCGCCUGCCCCUUCGACUGCUUCUGCUCAGUCGGCUACUCGACAGUUGGAGCUCCACCUUCUGCUGCAUCUGUUGGAAGUGCCUUGGUACCGCGUCAGUCUGAAGGACCCCGAUCGGUGCCUAGCGGUCGCGUAUUUGCCGCCCAAGUGGAGGAACCUGCUGCAGUCGAUGUUGUCGUGGCAGGUAUUGUAUUGAUAAAUGGAAUCAGAUCUAGGGCGUUGUUUGACACGGGCGCAUCGCAUUCAUUUAUUUGCCAGUCAGUUACUAGUAUUCAUGGCAUAGAGGUUCAAGUGAACGAGGAUACUUGAUAGGUUGAUUCCCCCGAGCAUACGUUUAGUGUUAAGAAUGAGUGUUUGGUUUGUCCAGUACAAGUGGGCGACUGGGUUAUACCGGCAUAUUUACUCAUGUUAAAGCGGUUGAAAAGGUUUGAUUUGAUAUUGGGUAUGGAUUGGCUCUCGAUGCACUAUGCGACGAGUGAUUGCGAUAGUAAGGUGACAACCUUUCGUGAGCCUGGACAAGAGGAGUUCACCUAUCGUGGUUGUAGGAGUUCGCUCUUUGCCAUGAUGGUGACGACGUCGUGGGCAAAAAAGUUGAUUAGUAGUGGUUGCGUGGCUUAUUUAGCAACUGUGGUGGAGACUCGUAGGGAGACUCCGGUGCUCGAAGACAUUCCAGUGGUCCAAGAGUUUUCGGAUGUAUUUCUCGUGGAGUUGCCUGGAAUACCACCCGAUCGGGAGAUCGAGGUUGUGAUAGACUUGGUUCCCUGAUCGGCGCUAAUCUCAAAAGCUCCAUAUAGGAUGGCACCGGCCGAGUUGAAAGAGUUGAGGGCUUAGCUGCAAGAUCUUCUUGACAAGGGAUUCAUCAAGCCGAGUGUAUCACCUUGGGAAGCCCCAGUGCUGUUUGUAAAGAAGAAUGACGGAUCGCUCCGGUUAUGUGUGGAUUAUCGUGAGCUGAAUAAGGUCACGAUCAAAAAUAAAUACCCAUUGCCCUACAUCGACGACUUGUUUGAUCAAUUGCAAUGGUCUCGGGUGUAUUCGAAGAUUGAUCUUCAGUCGUGAUACCAUCAAUUGAGGAUCAAGCCGGAGGAUGUUCACAAGACCGUAUUUUGUACGCGAUAUGGACAUUACGUGUCAUGCCCCAUGGCCCAGCGGAAGCCCGCACGGCGCGUGCACAGACCCGCCGUGUACACCAGACAACCAAAAUGCACACAAGGCGUCUACCAAAACAAGAAAUGAACAUAGUAAAGUCCUAACAAAGCUAUCAGAGCGAGUAAUAUAAAAUCACUAAUGUUCUAGCACAGAGAGAUUCACAAAUAUACAAAAUGUAACAACUAAAUCCAAAAGACUAACAACAUCUCUAAAAUCAAAUGCAUAAUACAUCUUUCUACAAAAUGCAAAAAAGAAAGAUGAUAACGGGUCCAUCUAAAUAACUCCGUAGGGGCUCUAGCUAGUCGCUAACCCCUUGCCACGAUCCCUAGCCUUUCCAGCCGCGGAAGGCUCUGAAAUAAAAAUCAACAACAAAUGGGGGUGAGAACUAUUAAACAAUAGUUCUCAGUGGGUAAGCUGCCGAGAGUGGCGAAAUACACCACUAGGUCAACUGAGGCAUGCUAUAGAGGGGUAAAUAAACAACAUAUAUGAAAGCAAGUAAAUAAAUAAAACAUGUUGAAUCAUAGUCAUGCCUCCACUACAAAAUUAACUAUUAAGUAUAUGAUGUUCUACUUUCAUCUGAUCAAUUAUAUGUCAAUGUCGAUUUACAUGCAUAUUCAUUUGUAUGCCAAUGUCCAUUUACAUGCAUAUUCAUAAUGUCCAUGAUACUACAUAGAGUAAAUUGUGCUUUUCAUUGUUAUUCUAGUCAUGCAUACGUACUAGCACAAGAAUAUAGGUUUACUACCACUAAAGCUAUCAAUGUCACAAUGUCCCACAAAAUGUCCAACUACUAUGUAUGCAUCAAAUAGCAGUAUAAGGUAGCAAACCACAUGUAUGAACAUCUAUUAUGUAUGCAUCAACUAUGGUGAUGUACAAUAUCAAAUUAAGUCUUAAUACCCAAUUUACAAGGAACGUACACGUGGUAACGUCCUGGCUCGUGCCGUGCCUUAGUGGCCCGUGGGGGUCAUCAUUUUUCCUGCAAGAAAAGAGACUCUGCCCACAGCAUCCCACUUCGGCGCCCAAUCCCGCACGGGCGAUCUAUCGUCCCAAGGCUAAACUCCGGAGUGCCGGCUUGCAGGGAGCGACCCUCACAAGCAUGUGCGAAUGAGCACAAGGGUAAGCAAGCGUGAUCAUAGUAUAGGGUUCACAAUUUGGGAUACUCAAUCAUCAUGUCUAAAACAUGAAAUUUUUACACAUCGACUCGACAGUCGGGUACUAGAUUAUUCAUGUCACAUCAUGUCUUGUUUACAACUACUUGGGUGCUAUGUCUCUACCAACACAUAUAAUGCCUAAAGUAUGCAUAGUUCAUAUGACAAUAUCCUACCUAGGAUAGUUCACUACUCCAACAAGGUUCAUGACAUGCAAUUACAACAAUUGUCAAGAGAAACAUUUACUAAUACCAUAUGCAAGAGAACUAUGAAAUGUCCACAAGUACCACAAUGUAUGUUAUGCACAUGUCUUUCCACUAACAUUCCCACUACAUGGAGUAGAAGUAUUAUGAUGCAGAUAAUUAAUUCCACUAGUAUUACGUGCAAUCAUCUCUAUUAGGGUUCGCCCCAAGGGCUUUAUACUCUCUUUUCCUCAUGUCUAACAUAUGGAAUACAACUAUCAAACCCUAGAUCGCAUGUAAUGUCGCAAUGGCAAAUACUAGUUGUUCUACUAACUUAAUGCAUCAAGUUACCAUGUCACAUGUUAAGUUCUAGUUGUCCAACUAGGUUAAAUAUACCAAGUUUAGUUUCAUGAUGACCUUAUCAUAUUCUAUGUCACAUUAUCACAACUACCUUGUCUACAACAAGUAUAAUGUAAAAAAUGCUAAGUUCCAUUCACUUUGUCUAUAACGAGUAUAAUGUUGUCAUCAUGUAAGAUAAUUAUUUACUUAACCCAUUCACUAGGUACCCUCAAGGGAUUAUAUCAUCAUUCAUACUCUACCAUUAGGGUUGCAUAAAAGAUAAAUUGUCAAGAAGUGUCAUUUAGUGCCAAAAUCCACAUGUAUGCCUCUACUACAUAGAGUAUAGAUUCUCACUAUACAUAACAUAUAUAUGUUAUGUUCUCAUAAAUUCUAGCAUGUCAUAAUGAGUAUGAAAAAGCAUCUAAUUAUAUCUAAAAACCAAAAGGAAGACAUAGGGAGAGUUCAUCCAUUUCGGUUAGGUCAAACCCACCGAAAGCACUCGAACCCUUUCGUUCCUUCGAAGAAGUUGUCCACCGAACUUCUAACACCAUAAGAGAAAUUCUAAAGGGUUAGAAACUCCAAAACUACUAUUUCGAAAAUCUUCGAAAAACACACACACAAUAAGGUGAAAAAUACCUUUGAUCGAGCUACACUUGUCCAAAGCUCAAAUCAACCCAAAGGAUCUUCAAAUCCAACCUAAAGGAGAAUUCUACACUCAUCAAUUAGGUUCCAAAACCUCAAACCAAGAAACCCCAAAAGAAACCCUAAUAUCUCAUAUUUAGGUUUCAUCUCAAGAAAUCCACUAAAACAUAAUCUAAAGAAAAGAUUAAAGUUACUAACCUUUCUACAAGCUCCAAACCAAGCUAGGGGUUUGCUAAGCUAAGAAAUCUUUCCUCCAAAAGGCUCCAAUCCAAGCUCCAAAGCUUCUCUAAUGGUGGAAAGGUCAUCAAAAUGCAAAGAGAAGCAAAAGAGGUGAUUAAUCCUCCAAAAUCCAAGCAAAAAUAGAAGGAAAUCAAAGAGGGGAUGAGGAGAGGCUCCUUACCCUUCUCUCCUCAGGUUCCAGGCUCAGGGAACACAAAAGGGGGCGUGGGGUAUUUGUAGAGUAGUAACAAUUCCAAAAAUAUCCCUCAAGAACAAGCAGUCAGCAAUCUGCACUGCGUACCGGUGACACGGGAUGGGGUACCGGUACCAUGCAGCAGCACGCGUAAACCCGAGCCUCGAGUUGGCAAGAAAACACACUGGGUACUGGUACCAGCGCAAUGCAGUAACGGUACUAGGUCUAGUACCGGUACUCAGGCAAUACAGUAUAGGUACUCUGCCCUGCAGAGUCCAACCCGAGAGCAAUCCAAAUUCUACAAUUUAGAGAUUUUGGUGCUAAGUUUUCAUCCUCGCUCCUCGGGAUGCGAGUCAUAGGUCGGAACACAAUAAACGACCAUACAGAAAACCCAAAAAGGCUCAGAUUACCAAUCAAACACUCGAACCUUACAAUUUGCUAAAGUUCAGUGUGUUACAUUCUCCCCUCCGUAAAGGGAGUUUCGUCCGCAAAACUACAAAUCAACCACACUACAAACCCAUCCGAAGAGGAUGGAAGAGGCGCUCCAACAGCGCACAAAUUAGAUUCCAAAGGUCUCGAGCAUGCCGGAUUGCUCCAAGGCAUCUCCACACCAAGAUCCCGCGGCUCCAAAGAUUCGGCAUAUCGCAAGCCAAUCUUCCACAAUAGUUCCUCGAACUCAAGUCUUCAUAGGGAAGUUCCAUCUCUAAUCCGCGCUCCUUCAACAAGCUCUUCAGUUGGUCCACAUGAAGCCAAUUGCCCUCAAAGGGCUAAAUUCCAUUUCUUACCUUCCUCAACCAGGUCGAGGGCGAAGUCUAGCUCUGCUUUAAUUUGCUCUUAUAAAUAGAGUUCCAUAAUAUCUCCUUCUCAGGAGGAUUCAAACCGUGUUAUCCAUAGGAAGAAUCCACCGGUUAUACCCGAUACAUAACCCAACAAAACUCCACCGGAGUGCUCGAAAUGAUUGUCACUUACCAAUAAGAGGCGAUAUAAAAUCCAAUCGUCGACCCAAAUCCCAACGAUGAUCCUCCAAAUCCAAGGGUCAUAACUCGUCAAGAAAUUGCACAACUGGGUGCAAUUCUAUUUCAUAGUUAAGCAUGGUGCAAUUUUUUUCCAUGUUGCUUCAAUUUGCCACAUUCCACAAUUCAAAUCCCGUUUGACCACAAAGCAGUCCAAAAUCAACAUCCAUGGUAAAAUUUCUUUCGAUAGCAACGAAAGCAAACGAAUCAUUCCAACUCGCACACCAGAGGUGAUUACUUGAUCAAACAUUCGGCUUCGAAUCACAAUGUAUCCAUGCCAUCUCCAAUUCCACCACUAGGGCAGAAAUCUCAAUUUCACCUCUAUAAUUGCUGCUUAGGGUCGGUGCUCAAAAGCUCCAUGAAUUCCACUAAGGACAUCUCUUCAGUUUCAAUACUCGUUGAUACCAAUCAUAGGGCGAAUCAUAACCAUCCCGUCUGCGAGAAAUUUCCUCACCUGUUCAACUUUGAUGUCCAAUUAAAUCCUUCACCAGUCUAGACGACGGGCUUGCCGCCGAUAGAAUAUCACAUAACACUUGUCACUUGAUUCCUCGAGUAGAGCCAAUCAAAGUCUUACCCUUAAUACCUUCCUUAGUACUUGAUACUUAAGGUGUCCGUCGUCACCGAGCUCAACUAAAGCGAUAGAGAGGGAUCCAUUCAUUCUUCAUUAAUAAGCUCUCUACCGUUGUCAUCUAGAUAUGACUAUUAACCAGAGUGUCAAUCCCAUAAACUCUUUUAUGCAGUUCUAUCCAAUGAACUUAAUUUCUUUGUGCAUGAACCGGAAAAAGGGAAACAAGUAACUUGGUAAUUUCCCUCUCUGAGUUUUCCAAACCACUCAAUCAAACGAUGAGGGUCUCACACCUCGAUCACAUCAAUCUGCCUACGCAGUCAUCCGUCGUAGAUCCUCAUCAGAAUACUUCACGGCCAUCAGCAACUGAUUCCACAAAUCCAUCCAGAAGGGCUUGGAAUUAUCAUUCAGCAAGUCCCUAAACUGGUGGGGCACUAAAAGCUUAGGUGGCAUCACAAUAAUUUCGUGAUGUCUCUGCCCAACAUCAGGAUCCAUUUAAGGUACAACCUUAAACUCCAGCACAAAACGGUCAUACUCAGAUUGUAAUCCAAUCUAUUGAGUAUACCUACAUCUCAAGACUAAUUGAAAAGAUCAAUGAACCUCUACAAUAAUCCAAAUACCAAAUUGUGUUUCAAUUUAGAUCACGAUAGUCAACACAUAGUCGAAACAACCUAGCCAGUCUCACAACAAGUGAGAGCGCUUUCCGUAAAGCAAAACAUUAGGCAUAAACGCCUCUCUGCUAGUCGAGCUCACAAUUUGUGACUCAGUCGGGAGUACUAUACAACUUCUCAGAAGAUAUCCUUCAUUCCGAGAAUUCUCAAACAUCCAAAAGUUAACGGCCAAUUAGGCCCCAAAUCCUCUCCAAUAAUUACCUGAUUUAGGUAAGGAGGUAGUCUUCGCAGACAGCGAGAUUAGACCCUCAAAAUGCACUAUUUCGUGCUCAAGUUCUCAAAGCGAGUCAAUUCAGCUCGCACGACCAAGGACACAAAGUGCUUCACAACUAAUCCAUAACAAGUAGGGCCAAUCCAUUUGUUUGAACACAAAAAUCUCUUAUGAAGUAGGGUGUUCAAAACGACACACCCGAUCAUCCAAUCAUCCUACAUGCAUCGAAAAUGAGUUAAUGCUAAACAGCUCGGCGAACACAGUUAACGACCAUAUCGAAAAUCCAAAAAGGCUCAGAUCACCAAUCAAACACUCAAACCUUGCAAUUUGCUAAAGUUCAGUGUAUUACAUUACGAAUUCACGGUCAUGCCGUUUGGGCUCACAAAUGCCCCUGCAGCAUUUAUAGAUUUGAUGAACCAUGUUUUCAAGUCCUUCUUGGAUCGAUUUGUCGUGGUAUACAUAGACGACAUAUUGGUCUACUCUCAUAGCGACGAGGAGCACAAAGAAUAUUUGAGAAUUGUGCUAUAAGUCCUUCGGGAGGAGAAGCUCUAUGAGAAGUUGAAGAAGUGCAAUUUUUGGCUUCGCGAAGUCACCUUCUUGGGCCACGUAAUUUUCGAGGGUAGUGUAUCGGUUGACCCAAGAAAAAUUGAAGCAAUAAAGGAUUGGCCUCGCCCGACGAAUGUAUGGGAAAUAUGCAGUUUUGUUGGUCUUGCGGGCUAUUAUCGGUGGUUUGUGGAGGGUUUCUCAAAGAUAGUUAUUCCACUUACCCGCCUUACACACAAGGGAACUAAAUUUUUGUGGAGUGACGAGUGCGGUCGGAGUUUUAAAGAGUUAAAAGAGAGAUUGACUACGUUUUGUCGUGUACAACUAUGCAUCCUAUCAAGGUUUGGGGUGUGUUUUGAUGCAGUGCGGGCAGGUUAUUGCAUAUGCCUCACGCCAGUUAAAGAGCUACGAGAAAAACUACCCUAUUCAUGAUUUGGAGCUCGCUACAGUGAUCUUUGCACCCGAAUUGUGGAGACACUAUUUGUACGGCGAACGUUGCGAGGUGUACACUAACCACAAGAGCCUCAAGUAUUUGUCACACAGAAGGAACUGAACAUAAGGCAGCGUCAGUGGUUAGAAUUGUUAAAGGAUUAUGAUGUAAUAAUUCUAUACCACCCGGAAAAAGCCAAUGUGGUGGCGGAUGUACGCUCAGCAGAAAAUUAGUGGAGAAUCUUGCAAUGGCCAUCACGCAUCAGCCAUCGUUGUGGAAGGAAAUGGGGCGGCUCAAUCUCGAAGUUGUGGCUCCGGAAGUCCCGGCUAUGCUUGCUGCCCUCGUUGUUCAAUCGACAUUGUUGGAGAGAAUUAAAGAUCAGCAAUCCUCGGAUCCGAAUCUCCAAAAGGUGCGGCGAGAUAUCGAGAACGGGCGCACAGCAAUUUUAGUGUGGGCUCUGAUAGUGCACUCUGGUACCGAAAUCGUUGGUAUGUGCGGGAUGACAAGGAAAUCCAAAAGAUUAUUUUACAAGAAGCUCAUCAGUCUCCCUAUAGUGUUCAUCAGGGCGGCACCAAGAUGUACAAGGAUCUGAAAAUACAUUACUAGUGGCCGGGGAUAAAAAAGGACAUCGGACACUAUAUGGCGCAAUGCCUUGUGUGCCAACAGGUCAAGGCGGAGCGCCGAUUUUCAGCGGGAAAGCUUCAAAGCCUAAUAAUUCCCGUAUGGAAGUGGGAGGACAUAGCCAUGGAUUUCGUUGUGGGACUACCCCGUUCGCAGGGUGGUCAUGAUGCGAUUUGGGUGGUGGUGGAUCGCCUAUCAAAGUCAGCGCACUUUCUACCUAUCCACACCACUUGGGCUGAUGAUAUAUUAGUGUAAGUUUAUCUUGAUGACAUCGUAAGACUCCACGGAGUUCCGACAACUAUUGUAUUAGAUCGGGAUACCCGAUUACAUCUCAUUUUUCGAAGAGUUUGCAAGAUGCGCUUCGCACACGGCUUGAUUUUAGCACGACAUUUCAUCCUCAAAGUGAUGGUCAGUCGGAGACGACGAUCCAAGUUCUUGAGGAUAUGCUUCAGGCGUGUGUAAUAGAUUACAAGGGCGGAUGGCAUGAUCAUUUGGCAAUGGCUGAGUUUGCCUAUAACAAUAGCUAUCAAGCGAGUAUUGAAAUGGCGCCGUUUGAAGCUCUUUACGGGAGGAAAUAUAGAUCUCCUAUACAUUGGGGUGAAGUUGGCGAGCGAGUUGUUUUUGGCCCCGAUGUGUUGAGAGAGGCGGAGGAGAAUGUUCGCAUUGCUCGCUAGAGGCUUCUAACAGUGCAAACUCGGCAACAAAGUUAUGCAAAUGUGCACCGGCGAGACCUUUAAUUCGCCGUGGGAGACCGUGUUUUUUUAAAGGUGUCACCAAUGCGUAGUGUAAAGCGGUUCAGAGUUCGGGGAAAGCUUAGCCCCUUAUACAUCGGACCAUACGAGAUGUUGGAAUGAGUAGGCACCGUGGCGUAUAGACUUGCAUUGCCGCCCAAACUUGCGAGAGUUCACAACGUGUUCUAUGUGUCCAAUCUCCGCAAGUAUGUUUAUCAUCCAAAUCACGUCCUCUUGUUUGAACCGCCGGAACUUCAUAAGGAUAUGACGUACGAAGAAUUCGGGUAUGCAUUCUCGCCCGAGAAGUUAUGGAAUUGCGGAAUCGUACGAUACCGUAUAUGAAAGUCUAGUGGAGCAAUCACGACGAGCGUGAAGCCACUUAGGAACUUGAAGAUAUGAUGCGGGAGCACCAUCCUCAUCUUUUUGAAGAUCUAAGUUGAGGUAUGAGUUGAGUUUGAGUUGAGUUUUGAGGACGAAACUCUUUUUAAGGGGUGGGGAGUACAAGGUAUUGGCUCCCCGAAGUGUUAUACCAACUUUGAUCAAAUUGAUCAAUGCGUGGUAAAGAGAGCUAUUGGACAUGUUUCAUAUAUGGGCAUGAGGGCUUCGGAGUCAUUAGAAGUAACCUUGGAUAAUAUUUGAGUGGUUUUAGCAUUAUCCGGGGCGAAAUCAGACUUAAGCAAUAAAAAGCUGCAGACUUUGCACUGUGCACCGGUACUGAAGCUUGGUACCGAUACCUAACAUGAAUGCAGAAAUGCUAGCUCUCGGGUUUGGGAAACAUGGCCUUGAGUACCGGUACUGGAAGGUUGUGUAUCGGUACCAGAGGUCGGGUACCGGUAUUCUAUAGAGUGCACAAAUAACCAACGUUCGGGUUGAGAUACCUGGUGGGUGGUAUCGGUACUGGGGACGUCGCAUACCGGUACUGGAGCCCGCGUACCGAUACUCAACAGAAAACUCUGAUAGUCUGUUCUCGGGUUGUGGCAUUAGCCUGGGGGUACCGGUACUCAAGCCUGAGUACCGGUACCCAGUGUUGCGUAAGGCAGAUUUUGAACUGCAACAAAUAUAAUUUGUUCAGGGGUCUAAUUGCAAUUGUGGGAACUUAUAUAUAGUCCCAACACCCCUCUCUCUUCUCCACAGCUGAGAACACCCUCAUUUCUUCCUCUUUUGACAUCUCCUUCUCUUUCUCUCUCUAGAAACUCUCCAACAAGGUCGUUUGGUGGGGUUUUGAAGGAUUUGGAGUUUUUGUGGAGUGGAAGAGGCUCUCCUUCAAGGUGGAGCUUGAGGUGUAGAAGUGGCCAAGGUAAGAUUUAGUAAGUUUAAGGUUAACCUAGAAUCCAUGUUUUUGAGAUUCUUGUGGCUUAGAAACCUAGAAUAAUCCAUUGUUUCUCAUGGUGUUUGGUUUAUGGCCAUGGUUUGGAAACCUUAGGGUUGAAAUUAGGAUUUUUGUAGAUAUGGAGUUUAUGAUGAAAUUGAUCCCUUAAUUUCUUAAUUGAAGGAUAAAUCGACAUGUUGGGAGACUUAAAACGAAGUUCCUACGAGCCUACGACGUACCGUUGGAGAAAAACACCGAUUUGCUUUCGUUACCUUUGGGUUGAGCCAAAACAGUGUCGGUAAAUUGCGGGACUUGAUUUCUUGCCUCUUAGCAUCAAUCGAAGGUGGGUGGUGUUAUCAGAAAUUGUUGAGUUUCUUCCUAUGUCUAUGUUACUAUUGUUGGCCAUUUAUAUACAUGUGUAAAAUUCAUGCAUUGUAGAGUAGUAUGUAUUGUAUACUCAAUUCCUUGCAUGCUCUUAUGGUAAAUGUAGAAAAUAUGAGAUGGAACAUAGAUGUAUAUGCACGAGGAUUGGGUCCUGAACAAUGGAAUCUCUAUAGUGCCAUGAACCGAAUGUGACUUAGACAAUAUAAUGACAUGGAAUGGUGGCAUUUGGACUUGUGAUGUUGAUAGCACACGUGACACUAGAUGUUAGGGAUGGAUAGAUCCUCGAGUAUUGUUACUCUUAGUUGGUAGGGUAUCCUCUAGUUGGAGUAUUGGAUUGUACUCACAUAUCGUCUAUCGGCUUGGUGGUGGUCGCUCCACCCAAGCAGUGAUGUCACGCCCCGCAACCACCAAUUUGGUCGGUUGGGGUACGCCGAAGAGACGCCGAACCGACAGAACCUCCCCUGUCUGCCCAAGGCUCAACAACAAUCAAGUACAUAUAGUUGCCCAGGAAACAUUAACCGCAUACAUGAUUCAUUGCGAGUAUAAACAAGCAAGAGCAAAAAAGUGAGAGUACUAGCUAUUACAUUUCCAUUCAACCAUUUGUAUCAUUGGUUAUAUUUUCAUCUCCCAAAAUGCAUACAUUAGGUUUACAUGUUCAACUCUCCAAAAGUAACCUCUCGCAAAAUACAUCAAGUCUCUCACAUGCAUAGGGUACUCUAAUGCAUAAAGGAAAGCUGCUAACUACUAGGCGCUAUGCCCUUACCACGGUCCUCGCCCGGUCAGCUCGAACUCGGCCCUGCAACAAAGUGAGAUGAGAACUACGAAUAGUUCCCAGUCACUGCAACAAAACUAAGUUUUAAUGGUGAUUAUUUGUUAAAAUCCUGGCAAUUAUAAUUGCCGCUAAAUAGUUUAGUGGCAAUUGUAGUAAUUGCUACCAAUGGUGGGGUCGGUAAAAGUUAUUAUGGCAUUUGUUUGGACGGUCGGUAAAAGUCUAAACAAAUGCCGCUUAAUCCUACCCAAUAACAACAAUUAUAAAUGCCAUCAAAAUUAAUUAUAAUUGCCACUAAAAGUAGACUAAAUAAUUACUAAAUAAGACUUAUAGCGGCAAUUGCCAUAUAUAUUAAAACACUUGAUCCACAAUUAAAUAUUCCAAUAAAUUGAAAUUAGAAAACAUGCAUUACCAAAAAGCAAUCAUAAUUUGCGACAAAUCAUAGUUUCAAUAUUAAAAAUAAAUUUCAUACAUGAGUUUCAAUNGCCACUAAAAGUAGACUAAAUAAUUACUAAAUAAGACUUAUAGCGGCAAUUGCCAUAUAUAUUAAAACACUUGAUCCACAAUUAAAUAUUCCAAUAAAUUGAAAUUAGAAAACAUGCAUUACCAAAAAGCAAUCAUAAUUUGCGACAAAUCAUAGUUUCAAUAUUAAAAAUAAAUUUCAUACAUGAGUUUCAAUUACAGAAUGCUUGUUUGAAUUCUAGCCAAACUAUCUCGAAAAAAUCCUAAAUUCUGAGUGCUCAAGCCAUUUUUUUGGACGGCAGCAAAAUGGCGGGCACGCAAAUAGAAAUGACCCCAGGCACACGCGAGUAUCUCCUCACAGUCAUCAUUGCCUAAAAAAUCCAAGCUGAUAUAUGUUUAAUCAAUCAGACAUUAUGAAUGGCUUUUCUACACCAGAUUAUAUGCCAAAUGCACAUAUAUUUGCAAAUAGCUGAAUUAUCGAAGAGUUUAAGCUGUGAUUAAGAUUAUAAAGAGCUAUUAAUUACAAUGGCCAAAAAUGAUCAUGUCAAGUCCAUUAGAGCAUUAUGAGAAUGAAAUACUAUCGUGAGUGGAGCAGCGCCGCAUCUCCAGUUGUAAACUGGGUGCUUCAGGUUCGUUACAGUUGCUAUAUAUUUGUUCAAACCAGCUGCAAGCAUACGACAAUAGAUAUGGCCGAGAACUUGCACGUAUUCAGCUUGUGGAAGCUGCUCAUGACAUGAAUUUGACAUUCAAAAAGAAGAUUCCCACAAAAUUGAAACUCACAUAGGCAUAAUCACCUUCAAAUUUCAAUGGUAGGGAUCCCCGAGCUUGAUAGCCAAAAUAGUGGCAUAUGGCAUUAAACUUUUUCCCCUUAUAUGCCCCUUGUUUCUGGAAGAAUUAAAGCACAAAGCACAGAAAUGUUCAAAGAAAAUAACAAGAAAUACAAGACAAAUGAUAGGAUUAAUUAGAUACAUGUUUUGCGGAUAAAAAAGUACUCCUUAAGACUUUAUCAACUAUGUACAAUAAGUUAGGUCUGAAUCUUUGAAGUCCUAACUUGUACACAAAUUUUAAAAAAGUAAAAUCUACCAUUCGCUCGUUCAUUUCUGCUUCGACCAAAGUGCCUAGUAGUUUCUCUCUCUCAAUCUGCACAUAAUUACAAGAAAUAAGUACAUAGACAUAUAAAACAACCUUAUGACAUUGCUAACUGCUGAAUCCGAACAGAGUUGGAAACAACCUUCUUCGCUCUAGCUUGGACCACAUCACAAAUAUGCUUUGUAAUGUCUACAAUAGUCAGUUUAGACAAUGCCACCACCUCACCUAGGAGGAGCUGAUAUAAAAUUAAAGUGAUUCAAGAUAUGAAAGAAAAUGCGACUUUAUUGGAAUGGAAUCAUCUGCUAUGAAAUCAAACCAUGUUUCAGUGUGAUUGGAGUGCACGCUCCAAAGCCACAUGUGAUGCUUUGUGACCCAUCAACCGUAUGAAGUGAUAGUACUACAUAAAAUGGAAUUUGUUCAUUUCAGAAACCAUAAGAUAAAUACUUGGAAGCAUCACAACAAUGAUACGCAUCUCACGCCAUAUAAGAACUAUUCUCUACUAAUAAUUGCACGAAAUUCAAAUAGAAAGAGUGAUCGCAAAAAUAAAACUACUAAUUGCAAACACUAAACAAGUGAUGAUCUUCUUCUAAUGAUCCACUUAAUCAAUUUGGAAAAUGUUUCUCCAAUAUCAAAUAAUAAAAUCCUCUUUAGUGGCGAUUUUUUUUUCUGUUCAAAAAAAUCAUUCAGGCAGUGUAAUGACUGAAAGAUGUUCCCGCAAAUUCUACACAAUAUGGUUUCUCCAUGAUCUAUGUCCAUUCAAAACCAAAAGAUUAACUUUUCACGCAGUCACCGACCGUUCCUAGAGCAAGUGGCAAAGGGCUUGGUGGUUGCUACCCGAGGUCCCAAGUUCGAAUCCUAGUUGAUUCACAUUUCUAGCUAAGUUUAUUUCUAAAUGAAAUAAACGAAGCGGGUAGCGUGCUACCUAUCUCUCAAAAAAAAAAAAAAAAAAAAUUUCACGCAGUCUAUAACCUAUAUAAAAACAACGGUUUCAAAAACAUAAGAUAGUAAUCCAUACCUUGCCAGCUGAGAUGGCAUCUAGGCAAACAUUGCUGAUGAGCUGCGAGUUGAUCUGGAAGUAUAUAAAAUUAAAGCCUACUAUACUAGUCAUUUAUGAAGAAAAGAUGUUGAUUGUUAAAACAAUAUUUUUCAGCAAAAAUAAAAAAAAUAUAGAAAAAAGAACUACGAAAAAUGUCCACUAUUAAAUUCAUUUAUCAUAUUUGGCAAAUAUGAAUGGAAUUCAACAAUAUUUUCCACAACUAUACAUGGAUCUGGGUUACCAUGGAGUAAAAAAAUUAUUUUAUAAGAAGGAAUCUUAUAAAAUAAAAGAUCCGGAACAAAUUCAGGGCAAUCACGAAUUAUUGAUAUAAAACGAGUCAUUUCAGGAUGCAUAGAUAAACUACAUAAAAUUAUAUACCUUUGUUGGGCAUUUUAAUUCGGUGAAUGUCUCUGCAAGCUGAGCGGCAUCUGUGUUGGAAGUUGUUCCUUCAUAGACAAAUCAAAACAAUUAAGAAGCCGCAGUAAUCAAUCUGAGAGCAAAAUAAUUAACGACCUGUAUGUGGAUCAACGGAUUCCUCCAGUAAUGACAAGACUAUCCAACUUCAGAUCUUGGCAUGCCGACAUUGCAACAUUCACUUGCUUAGUUGUUCUUAUUUGAUCCACACUCCGACCAAGCAUAUCGAAACCACCUUCACAAGCAAAAGAUUUUAUGUCGACAAAAUAUAUAUAUAUAAGGUAACACUGAAGCUAAAACAGAAAAAGAGAAGGGCAACUUCGUGCAAACCUUGGUGUUUGUACGUAGAAAGAACUUCAUCUGUGAUUUUCAGGGUUUUCUGUGCAAAUAAGCCUUCUGUACCACCUAUAUCCAGAAAUAGGAAGAAGCAAUGAGCAAGAAAUGCUGAAGAAUAUUAUAAUUUGGAACUGGAGUUGAGCUAGAAGAGUCGAAGCCUAUAAACAAAAGUGUAAUUGUUAUUAAAGUGCAAUCUUCAGAACUUGGCUUUGGCAACAAAUCUAUAACAGCGAGUAUACUUGAAAGACUACUAAUCACUUCAACUCCACAAAUGGAACUUCCAAUCCUCACAAAUAAUAUCUGAUCUCCUUUCUAACCGUGUUUAUGUGCGCUGCACAUGCUUCAUAGCGUUCUGAUAAAUCAAAGCUAAUCGCAAAAAAAACAACAUACAACAUAUUGCUAUCGAAGAAAAUUACAUGCUUGCAAGGGGAAGAAAGGUAUGCUAAACUAAAAGGGCUGAUUUAACAUGUUAUUUUGGUGACUUACAAGCCUAGAAUAGAAAACACGGCAGUCAAACUUGAAGAAACGAUAUGCUACCUCGUAAAGAAAAAUGCUCACCAACAAAUCCUAGCAAAAGUAUUGUCAGGAUUGUGAAUUUUUAUAGCAUCGUAAAGGCCCCAAAUUACGUUGUGGCCUCAUGGUGAUUGUCUUCUGGAAAAUACAACCCCAACCCUACAGCAACAGGUUUUGGAGCUCUAAGCAUCAGCUGGCAGCUUCAGUGUGGCUCAACAUGCCAAAAAAUGAUGUGUAUAAUAAUGACAGUCCAGCAAAACAAAUUCUUGGUCUAGAUAGAGGAGGUCAGCAAUCUAACAUUUUUGUCCAGUUUAAAUCUUCUGAGAGGUAAGAACUGCAAUAAACCUGAUAGGUGGCUGGUCCUCAAUGAUAUGCGUGUCGGGGACUUUCGAUGUUGCCCUCAGAAAAUGAGCUAACAGCUGCCCGAAAGUGUGGGGAAACGCUUGGGCGAUAACAUGCGCGCUAGAUGAAUCGGUGGUUGUCGUCGAAUCCCCAUACUCUACUCUCACUGUAGUCCCCUGUUUCAAGAGAUCAUGCUAAGUAAAACCAGAUAGUAUUCACAGGAAUCAGCAACAAAACAAGUCCUAUUCGGAAGAUGCAGCGAGCAAUUACGGUGACUAAAAAACAUACUAAGAUGAAAGAACAAGUGAUUGUAAUAUUUCCUGUAUUCAAUAUAUGAAAAUCCAAACUUUCCGCAGCAAUAAUUAAGUUCUUUACAAAACGGCAAUCAGCUCUCUCAUCUCGGGCUUCGCUUUUUCUCUGACUAAANAACAAAACAAGUCCUAUUCGGAAGAUGCAGCGAGCAAUUACGGUGACUAAAAAACAUACUAAGAUGAAAGAACAAGUGAUUGUAAUAUUUCCUGUAUUCAAUAUAUGAAAAUCCAAACUUUCCGCAGCAAUAAUUAAGUUCUUUACAAAACGGCAAUCAGCUCUCUCAUCUCGGGCUUCGCUUUUUCUCUGACUAAAACCUCCUCAAAUUUUACCUUCCUUCGGCUCUCCUCAACUUCUUUAGACUGCGAGACUGCACUCACCACUUGGUUGGAUAGCUUACCAAUGACCGCCAUCUCCCUGUUAACCCAUAACUCUUCUUCUUCUUGUUCGAGGAACUCUGCGAUUUUCAUAAACAAUUUGUCUUCGAAAUCAUAACUAUCCCACCAUCCAUAUUAAUUUGUAACCAUACUGAACUAUACACUGGAACAUUACAUUUAGGACUUUUACAUAUGUAUCCAUGCAAAAUCAUCUGUCUAGUGUCUACACAUAUGCCCCUUCCAAGUGCGAAGUUGGUUCUGUUCUAAGAAAGAUCUUUAAGAGAGGACAUUCUUGUAGAUGCGUAUAUUUAAGAAAUUAAGCUUUAAAGGGCCUAUAAGAGAAUACGGCAUAUAAGUAAAUAGAUAAUUUAGCAUGGGGAUAUAUGUAAGUAUCUCUUAAGUUUAAAAGUUGGACUUAUGGGUAAGAUAAUAGCCGAGUGAUGAAGCAUAUACCAUAGGCAUUUCCGAUCAUAUGGGUGUCCCUGAAUCCAAUUGUGACGGCUAGACAAAGAAGCAUCAAAAGCCAAUUCACCUCCGGUAUGUAUAUCUGCCCAUGGACGUGACUUGAUGUGUGUAUGAUCUUAAUGCAAGAAAAGCACCCCAAUGGCCUACACUAGCUGAUUUUGGAGAAGGUAGCUGAUAUAAUUGCUUGGCUUCCAACUACUGUGGCUAAUGUUGCGAUGAUUAAUAUUGGUCAAAAGACAUUCUCUGGAUUGAAUGAACAAACGAGUACAAAGAAAGCAUCAAAUAGUGUUAAAUAAACUUCUUAAUGGCAAAACUAAAAUUUUAAUUUAUUAUUACAUGAUUAAUAUCGGCCAACUUUUUAUUUCCCAUAUAGGGCAAAGAAGACAAAUUUGAGAGGAUCAACUUCUCUCUUGCUACUCGAUUUCUGUCGACUAGAUGAAAUUGCUCAAGCAACAGUUAUGAUAUAUUACUCGAGUAAUAUAAAUUAUGAUAUAUUACUCGAUAGAGUGAGGAUUUGAACCUAUAACUCAUAAACGAACAACAAAAAGCAAAAGAAAAAGAAAAAAAAGCUCAUAGAGCGAGGAUUCGAACCUUGGUUUGGAAAUCGACGGAUUGGAUAUCCGCCUUGUAAGCGGAGGCGGCGAUCUCCCCGAACGCAGCCUUGAGGGAGAGGGAGGAGUCGACCCAGACCCCAUUCGCGAAGGAGACGCGGGGCCCACCGGCAGCGGAGGCGUCGGCGAGGACGCGGCCGACGACGUGGGCGGCGAGGGCGGAGACGUCGUCUGUGGUGGCGUCGGCGCCGCCCGCGGGGGCGAGCACAGCGAGGAGCUCGUCGAGGGUGGGGCCUGCAUCCCCGCCGCGGCGAGGCUGAGGAGCGCGUGGAGGAAAGAUCGGAGAGGUGAAUGUGAAGGAAAGGGAGGCGACAGAAGAGGUGGAGGAGAUGGGGAGAGCUCGAUCGAGGUCGAGCUCCGCGUGGGAGGAGGGGGCGCAAAUGAGGUGGGGGGCGAAUAGGGUUAGGGUGGGAGGUGCACUCUUGUGAGCCCAAUCGUGCUGUUUUGGGUUGGAAUUAGAAUUAGGGGUAAGAUUAUAUUGAUUGUCAAAUAAAUAUAUUUAAUAUAAAAUUAACGGCUAUUUAAAAUAAUUGUCGCUAAAACAUAUAUUGAUAAAAAGUAUUAACGGCUGUCCAAUAAUCGAUGCUAUUAAAUUGCCGCUAAAAGGCAAUCUUGUUGUAGUGAGUGGGUUCGGCCGCCGACUCCGCCUAUCUUCCCACUAGGUCUAAGUAGGCAUGAGUAGAUAGAUAGAUAGAUAUGAUAAUAAAAGCUGCUAACAUAGUAAUGAAAUCUACUAUCAAUUUACUAUGCUACUAUGCCUUCAAUAAUAUAAUGCAUGAAAUGCUCACCUAGCAAUGAAACCAACUAUCAUGCUAGUAUAUCUCAACAAUGUAAUUGAAUGAAAGAACUACAUAGUAAUGAAGUCAACUAUCAUGCUACUAUGUUCAACAAGUAUGUCAUUCAUUAAUUCAUCACCCAAUCCACAUGGCUACCCCGAAGGUUCGCCCCGACUCACAUCUCAAAUCCCAUAGGUGAGGAGUCUUAGCUGCUCAACCCACCUGAGACCGACUACGGGACAACCACGUCUGCCCCUAGUAUGAUGACUCCGGAGUGCGCUGCUUGGGUAGAGCGACCACCGCAAAACGAAAACAGACUAUGUGAGUAUGAUCCAAUCCUCGUCAACUGAGGACACCCUACCAACUAGAGCUAACAACAACUCGGGAACUCAACUGUCCCAAUGUCCAUGUUCAAGUGUCUCAACUACACUAAGUUCACGUGUCAUUUGUCCAUAACUAGGAAAAUUCAUCUAUUCCUAGAUUCAUCAUGUCAUUAGUGCUUCUACUACACUAGUUAUAUUCCACUCGUUAUGUCAUCAUACAUGGUUUUAUAUGCCACUCGUCUAUGUCAUCAUUUGUUACCGACAUUAUAGGAUUCCAUGUCAAGACCCAAUCCUCAAGCAUCCAACAUGUAAUGUGUUCAACUCACAAUGCUAUAUCAAUCAAGGAAGCAUAUAAGGAAAUGGGAAUGCAACUACCAAUACCCUACAAUGCAUAAUCAACAUACAAGAUGCAUGGUCAACAUUAGAACAUAGACAUAAAGUGAAGUCCGAUGGCUUCGGAUAGCACCCCCCACCUUUUGGUGAUGCCAAGAUGCUAGAAACCAAAUUUCGUGAUUUUUGGACGUUGCCUCGGCCCUCCAGGCGGAAACGAAGCAAAAACGAUCGUUUUCUUCAAUACCGUGCCACAUGCCCGUAGGAACUCCCGUUCGAGUUGCCCACAAUGUCGAUUUUACCUUCAAUUAGGUUUACAAAGGGUCAAUUUAACCAUAAACCUCAUAUCUAUGAAAACCCCAAUUGCAACCCUAGGGUUUCCAUAGCAUGAACUACAUGAGUUCAUCAUGUGAUCCCAAGGUUUUCUCUAAGUUUUCCUUCAUGUAAGAAGAUCAAAUCCAAGUGUUUUAGGGUAUAAAACCAAACCCUAAACAAGUUCUUACAAGAAACCUUACCUUAGCCUAUGAACACCACGAGCUCCACCUUGUAGGAGAGCUCUUCACAUUCAAAAAGCCUCAAAUCUCCUUCAAAUUCCCUCCAAUCUCCACCAAUCACCCUUAGGGAGAAGCUUCUAGAGAGAGAGAGAAAGAAAAUGAGAGAGGAGGAGUGUUCUCAGCUUGUGAACAAGAGAGGAGGAGAUGGGGUCCUCUUAUAUGUUCACACAAUUGCAAAUAAGCCCUCCAUUUUGUUUUAUUUGUAGCAGACUGCAACCUGUUGUUCGCAGUGCAGUGUACCGGUGACACGGGCUCUUGUCACCGGUACACCAUCCAGCAGCAGCCAAACCCGAGAGAUGCUGUUCUCGGGUUGCUGCAGAGUACCGAUGACUAACCAGGGCUGUCACCAGUACACUGCCCCAGUACCGAUGACACCCGAAUGUUGUCACCGGUACACAGCCCCAGAUGCCCAAACCCGAGAGCUGCUGCUCUCGGUUGCCUGCCUGGUACCGGUGACACCCAGGGCCAUCACCGGUACACAGUACUCAGAUUGCAUUUUUUUGGUAGAGCUCAGUUCUAUUUCGCGUCGAGCAAUGCUAAAACUCGUUAAUCUCAUUUGGAACUCAACUUUAACCCUUCCGACAUUAUUGAAAUGUCGUAUGGACCGUGUCCAACCAUAUCUCUCGCCACGUUUUAAUCAUUUUGACCAAAAGUGGUUUAACUCGACGAGGAUCCAUUAUCUUACAAGUGAGCUCCGGAGUGGUCACACACUGGGUUAACGUAUCUACCCAACAGACGGUCCCCGAUGAGUGUAGCGGGCGUCUCCUCAUCUGCGGGAUUGGUUGUGAGUUGGGCUCAACCUUCGGGUUAGCCGGUGUGAUUGGGUUACAAGCAUAUGAAUGGCAUGCAUCAUGAGCAUAAUGGUUACUUAUUCAUCAUAUCAUAUUAUUGAGGCACAGUAGUAUGUUAGCAUUCCUUACUCUUGUUCUCCUUUCUACUUAUGCCUACUUAGACCUAGUGAAAAAAUUUGUGGGGUCGGCGGCCGAACCCACUGGAAACUUCUUUUAGUUCUCACCCCAUUAUUUUGCGGAUCCCUAUCCUAGCGGAGCGGCCGAGGAUUGUGGCAAGGGCAUAGCGCCCUAGGUAGUGGACUUCCCGUGCAUUAGUAUACCAUGUACCUAUUUAUGUGAGAGACGUUUUAUGUUUUGGAGAGAACAUGUAGUGAGGAUGGCUACGUAUGAAUUAGAUGGUUGUAUUUUGGUGAGAUGCAAAUGGAUAAGUAAAUGAAUGGUUGUAAUAGUUAAUUUAGUUAAUCUUCUCUCUUGCUCUUGUAUAUUGCCCUUGCGCAAAUCAUGUAUGUUGUUUGUUUUACUUGGGCAAAACUUGAUGUACAUGAUGUUGUUGAGCCUUGGGUGGUAUAGGAGAGAUUCUGUCCGUUCGAUGGUCUGUGUGCGUGCCCGCAACCGAUCAAAUUGGCGGUUUUGGGGCAUGACAAACCAUUGGACAACUCGAAUUUUCGGAAUUCGGCUGACGGUCACCGAAAGAUAGCCCGAUUGUCACCCCAACUCGACAAAAUGUCGCAGCAACCCCUGGGGUGACCCGAAGUAAGACUCAUAACUAUUCUACACUGCUUGUUGUCCCAAAGCAUCAUUUUAGUGCCCUUGGGACAGCCGCACAAUGUGUGCGCUAAAAUGGAAAGUCGGGGCUUCGGAAAUUAGCCAUUUGGCUUUUGGGGUGCCGUUUUUGGUCCCGGAACCCUCCAUGGCUUUCUUGCUGCAAUCCAGGAUCUCUAACCUUCCCCUGGCACUUCGCAAAUCGGCCACAAACCUGUUGUGAACAGCAGCAACAAAUAUGACGUGAGGUCGCACCCGAAACUGCCCGAAAUUCACGUUAUCGAGCUCCGUCGAGCCCCGAAGCAUGCCGAAGUAUUCCGGAUUUAAUCCUAACUUACUUGCUGUCCCGAAACACUAGCCAUUGGGUGUCGGAAUAGCAGCACCUCGUUUGGUGGAAGAGCAAUGUAACACACUGGACCAGUGCAAAUUGCGAGGUUCGAGUGCUUGACUUGGAUUCCGAGCUUUUCCACACUUGGUUGAAGGUCGUAGAUAGUAUUCCGACCUAAAAGUUCGAUUUCUGGAAUCUUGGCUAAGUCCUAGAGUUUUCACUCUCGGGGACUGGUCCCUGGUAGGAGAGACCGGUCCCAUCGGAACAGUGUUGCGGCAGAACUUGAGGCAACCGGUCCCUGGCUGAUGAGACCGGUCCCCGAGCGCGACUACGCGGGGAGAGACCGGUCCCAUGCGGGGAGAGACCGGUUCCCGAACGUUGGAUUUGCCGGAUGAACCGAGAGAUCAGUCCGAGGCAGGGAGAGACCGGUCCCUCAGCCCGAAAAUUACCCAGUUCGGGCAGUGCAAUAGUUUCAAAGUUGAGGGGCUUUUUCUGGAUUUUAUUACAAUAGAUGGCCUAAAUGGCCAUUUCACCUCUCUCCCUCCCUCAUUUCACACUCUCCCUUGCACUCUAGAGAGAGAAAGAGAAGGAGAAGAAGAGGAAGAAGAAGGAGAAGGAGAGGAGCUUGCUUGGAGGCCUUGGAGCAUCUUCCUCUCCCUCGUUUCGCACCUUUGGUGGCUUGGAGCUUGUGGUUGGAGCCUUGUGGUGGAUCAAUCUUCUACCCUUAGGGAUUUUGAGCUUGUUUUGGAACAUCUUAGAGGUAAGUGGCUAGUUUUCUUCCUCUAUAUCCUAGUUUUGAAGCUAUAAACUAGAUGAAACCCUAGAUUUGGAUUUUAGGGUUUAUUUUGGAGAUUUUUGAUUUGAGGGCUUUGAGACCCAAUUGAUUGGUUUAGAACCUUCCUCUAGGUUAGGUUGGAAGGGUUCUAGCUCUCUUUGGAAGCUUGUGAAGGGAUUUUUACACGAGAGGUGAGUUAUGCCCUUUAUACCUAGAUGGUUAAAGAUUGAGCUUAGUAUUGUUCGUAAUAUUCGUUUAACUCUUGUUCCUACAUUUUUAGGGUGCUAGGAGACUAGUGGACACCUUCGUUGGAGCAAACGAAGGAGCGCAAGAGUUAUGGUGGGUUUGGCUUCAUGAGAACGGGGCAAAAUGGCCCCUACGCUUGCUAUAUUUGUCGUAACGUCUUUUUGAAUGCAAAUCCAUGCUAGAUAGGAUUUAUGUGAAUUUUAGAACACUUAAAAUGCAUGCCUUAUAUAUCAUAAAAAUUUCACUCUAUAUAAUAGAGCAUUAUGAGUAAAUUCCAUGCAUGUGAGAAGUGUUCGUGUUAGUGAUUUGGAAACAUGUCUAUUAUGUUAGAAAUUGCUCAAAUUAUGCAUUUGCAAAUAAUAAACUCAUGUUUGGACUUAGCGGACAAAAAUGCCAUAAAGGGGCACUUGACAUAGUAAACUGUGAAAUUGCAACAUAGAGACAUAGUGAUAGGCCAUUGAAUAUCUGCUAUAUUCUAUGUUAGAGACAUGAUGACAUAGAGAUAGGCCUUUGGGACAUUCGAUAUAUAUAUAUUCCAUGUUGUUAGACAUGAGGACUUGGUACUUGAGACGGAUUUUUUGGUUACUUGCCAUUGUGCUCAUUCGCACAUGCUUGUGAGGGUCGCUCCCUAUAAGCCGGCACUCCGGAGAUGGCCAUCGAGAUACAUAUUCGCCGUGCCGGAUUGGGUGCCGAAGUGGAUUGCCGUGGGCUAGGCUCAUUCCUAGAGUGAGGAUGUUGACUACCACGGGGCCAUUAGGCUCGGCACCGGCCAGACAGCCUACGGGUGGGUCUCAGGGCCAGACAGCCUUUGGCGGCGGGUCUCUUCAGAUUUGACUUGGAGCAUUCAUCAUGCCAUGUGGACAUUAACUAGAAUAGUAAACAAUAACAUCUUUACUAUUUGACUUAUGGACAUCAUACUAGCGAUACUUGGGUACAUUCAUACGAGAAUAGCUUUUCUUACUUAUGCUAAAUCAUGCUAAGUAGAGAUAUCAUGUGGUAACAAAUAUUCAUACUUAUUUACUUGUUGUACAUUUCGCUCUUGUUUAUAUCUGCUUACUGACCCCUUGUUAGUCUGGGCCUAGUGGUGCAUUUCACUGAAGCCAGUAAUUGCCCACUGGGAACUAUUAUUCAAUAGUUCUCACGCCCUCUGUUUUAUGGUUUUAUUUCAAAGCUUUCGGCACCGGCGGAGGCACGGGAUCGCGGCAAGGGAGUCGUAUAGCUAGAUAGCGGAGCUCGCUAUUGCUCCUAGGUGGUCACUCUCUUCUUUUUGAUUUUUGUGAGAGAGAGAGUUUUGUACCAUGUAUAGAGACCACCUGUGUACCUUGUUUAGCUUUCGUUUUUGGGAUUUUUAAUGUAUUACUUUAUGUUUGUACUUAGCGGAUUUCACUUUAUGUUCCUUUUCCUUUUGUAGCUUCUAGAUACACUUUGCUCUGAUACAUCUAGAUGUUCUCUUUUUAUUGCCUUAUUUAUCGUUUUGUUUUAGACGCCUUAUAUAUUUUAGACAUAUGGCGGGUCUAGGCACGUGCCGGGCGGGCUUCCACUGGGUCCCGGGGCGUGACAAGCAAUUGGUCCAAUGCGGUCUAUGCCACGAUCGGGGUCCCGAUCAUUGCCAUUUUGGCUCCGGAAGCCCCCGAAUUGCAAAACGUCGAUUCGUGAGUCUCGAAGGCUCAUUAACGGUAGCACACGAAGUGUUACGCCUGGUGUGACCAGCAGCGACACGAGUCCUAUAACCAAAGCCAAAAACGAGGCUCCGACGGCACAAAUGAUGGUGAUAUAAGCGCUAAUUGCCUUGCUAAUUGAACCACGAGGUUCGUGGGCAUCGGACAAUGAACGAGGACACAAAUAUUUCAAUAUGCAUGCUGCCUACAGCAUCAACGAUGCGAAAACACCGCUAUGAUGCAAACCGAGCCCAAACGCUUGACUACGAUCUCAACGUGCGAUAGUUUCUCGACAACUACGAAGUUACAGCCUUACCGUUGUUCCAGGGGCUUCAAAAACACAGCAAGGAUGAAAUCCUCACGAUCCUUAGGCGCUGGACUCCUCCCACGGCAGUCCCGAACGGGAGUCGCGCUCGCUGCACAGCGAAUCCGCGAACAAUGCCUUGCCGCAGCCUGCGCGCGAUGAUUCAUCGCAAUCUGCGAACCAGCCAAGAAGAGCAAGAAUUUUUAGUGAACCCAACAACGAAAGUAAUCAGCGGAGGGUGGUGCUUACCUUAACCAUGCUCCACAAGGUAAAGAAUAGUAGUUGGGAAAUUUUGAAUUUUUCACGAACAAUCCCCCACAAAAAUUCAAAAUUUUCAAAUAUAAAAAUUAAACAAAAAUAAAUUAAAUAAAUAAAUCAAUUAAUCACCGGAUAUUUAUAUUAUGCAAUAGGCGAUGUGUCUUUAAGAGAAUUAACCCUACUUAGUGUAAAUAGUUUCCAUCAGAAAGAAUCGGAGUGAACCAAGUCUUGAACUACGUUCCUUUGACCCUAACUUCAACUACCACACACACAGUACAGAAUUCUCCGUCGCGGGUCUGUGCGUUAAUGGCCAUGCAUAAUAUCUUGAUUUUUCAUAAGAGCUUAUAUAGACAGCCCACAUCACAUAGCCGCAGCCACAUACGGAUACUCUUAUAUAGGUGGUUUCCUCCAGGGAUGUGUGUAGAGUCACAUCUCGCGGAAAUUAUCGUCUUGGAUUCCAUUAAGAGCUAUCAGCUCAACCUCAACCACUAACAGAGCACUACUCACCAUAGGGGUGGGAUUAGAGCUAAAGCUCCUCUAAAUAAAUUGUAGAAAGUGCUCUUUGGCCAACCUAACAGCUUAUUUUUACCAUAUUGAACCUUCUUCAAGGGAUCUCCUAUCACAAAGGUUGGGUUCCCAUUGCAGGAAGGCCCUAUACGGGCAAAGUCCCACUACUAUAGGUACAAAAUUUAGUGGCGACAUUUAGUACAAGAUUUAGUGGCGACAAAUGUCGCCACCAUAGCCAAAAUUGUUGCCAUGAAAAAUGUUUUGGCGGCGACAAUUCAUCGCUGCAUACCGCCGCCUAAAACCCUGUCGGUAAAACUGUUUAGUGACGACAAUAUUGUCGCCAAUAAAAGUUAGAUAAUUAGCGGCGACAUACUGUCGCCGUGAAAAGUUAGAUAAUUAGUGGUGACAAGUUGUCGCCGCGAAAAGUUAGAUAAUUAGUGGCGACAGAACCCUAAACCGGGACCGAACGUUUUGGUGGCGACAAUUUGUUGCCGCUAAAAGUUAGAUAAUUAGCGGCGGCAUAGUGUCGCCGCGAAAAACUUUAGAUAAUUUGAUUGUGAUUUAAAUCUAACUAAAUUUUGUGAUGAAAAUAAAUAAAUCAACUUACAGAUAAUUGCUAAAUUCCAAAUAAAAAUUUAAUUGAUCCGGAAGCGUGCGAAGCACUGCCCUAAGACGUAUUCCCGUCCUUCAUGCAGGAUUAACCAGAAACACCGCCCCAAGAUACGACCGGAAUUCCACUUCCUACGAGCACGAACGCGGAAGAGGUUGACGGAGACUCUUUCAACACCAGGUGAUAAACGAAUCACAGAAAAUAAAAAAUAUUAUCAAAUCUCUAAAUAAUCUUGCUUCAAAAAUUACUGGACAAACACUUUUUGCUUCUCUGUUUCCUUUUUCUCACUAUGCACCUUUCACAGGCUCAUCCUAUAUAUAUAUAUAUACACAGCAUGCGAAAAAGAAAAAAAGGAUGUUGCCACGUUCUAUGCGGAACGGGUGCGCAUCUAGCGCGCGAGCAGGGCGCGAGCGUGCGCGGAGCGGGCGCGCACGUAGCGUGAGCCCGUAACGUCCGCAGAGAAUAAAAAUAAAAAUAAAAAUAAAAGAAUUAGAGAAUUAAAGAAUAAAUAAUAGUAGUUGGGAAAUUUUAAAAUUUUCACCAGCAUGGAGAAGGUCUAGGACGGUUGCAGCAGGUCGGGGAGGUCCAGAGGAAGGAUUUGGCAACGUCCAAACGCAACCAGUGCUACGCCCUAGCUGCUGCGACUACGGUCGAUUUGAAAUAACCUCUUAAUAAUAAAAAAGAAAAGAUGGGUUACUUUAUAGAGCCCUGCAAUAAUGUGGUCCAUAUUGGGCUAUUGGAUCAAAGGCCCAACGCAGGCCUAUUUUGAGGCCCCCUAAUUCACAUCAUUUCCAACUAAAAAGGCCCGUAUUUGUACAACUCCGUAACCUUGUCGCUCUCUCCCUCUCUCUCUCUUCCUGCGAUUCCGCACUAUAAUCGUCGUCGUCGUCGUCGUCGUCGUCGCCGUCGCCUCUCCGACGAGGUCGCCAUGGACGAGGUCGCGUUUGCUGUGGAGGGCCUGAAUGGGGAAUGGGACGAAACCGCGGUGCAAAUCCGAGAGCGGAUCGCAGCGAUCGAGGGUUGCGGGAGAUCCGGGAGGGGGACGGAGGAGGCGAACUCGCUCCCGCGGUUGAACGCCUCGGCGCAGGACGGGCUCGCCUCGCUCAGAUCGAUGCAGUGCAAGCUCGAUCUACUCGCCCAGCAGUUGCCCACACCAAACGAAGUGCAGCGUGGCCAAUCCACUCUAGAGUCCUGGAAGGAACAGUAUAACAAGUAUGUUUGUUCCUCUUGCAAAUUAUUUUUAUUAUUUUCCCUUUUUCUUUUUCAAGAUCCUAGUGAAUUUUUGCUCGUUGACACUCUUAAUCGUUGGAAAUUUGGAGGGGAAAAAAGAAAAACCAACCAUAAUUUUUGCAAGAUUUUGGGGCUAAUUAUGGUCCGUGACACUCAUUUGGCCGUUAUAAUUUCAUGUUUAUCCCUUUGCUCUCUGAAUCGUAAGAUAAAAUUUGGACGAAUUUAGGGGGGUUUGAGUGAGGUGGCUGAUUGAAACGGAUUGAGAGUUCGUAUAGUUUUUCUUUUAAUUUUUUGAAGUUCGGGUUAGUAAGUAUAAUCCGGCUGAAGUUUGUUUAAUCAGGCCCAACAUUUCUAUUUUUUUCUCGUUUUUCAUGGAUUAAUUUCUCACAAUUUUCCUAUGUUGAUGUUUGUAGGCUGCAUAUGAGCUUGAGGAAUGCGAAUCUGCAGGCGAAGCAGAACAUCAGGAAAGCUGCUCAAGAAGAAGUGAGUUUCUCUUCUUAAACCUGGAAAUCAUAAGACGCCGCAUAUUGAGAUGCAUGAUGUCAUUUUACGUCCACCACUAAGUUUUGGAGUAUAAUUUUGUCCAUGUGCAUCUUAAUCGUAUGUCUGGGUUACUCACUUUUGCUCACUAUUGUUGAAUUUUUCACUGGGAUAUGUCCGUGUGAUUUAAUUGUGUAGUCCAAUGAAAUUGUUUAUUUCAUUCUUCCAUCGGAGUAUCUAAGAUCAUUCUAAUUAUUGGUAUCAAACUCUUUUUUCACAGAGAGAGCUGCUUUUAGGAGGUGGGGAAGAGUCUACCAUCCGCAGACGUAAUUUAUAGUAUGUUGAGUUGUCAAGUGAAAAUUUUCCCAUUUAAAAUUGCAACAUUUAGAUGUUCAUGUAGUCCGAACGAAUGUUUUUUGCGAAACCCGUCCUUAACUUGGUCUUUGAAUUUUACAAACUUGUUGAUUUGGAUUAUUUCCACUACCAGAACAAUUUCCGUUGUUCAUGGCAGUUGGAACGCAAUGUCGCUUGUUAAUAACCAUUCUAGGAAUGCUAAAAAUAUUCAACAAUAGCAACAGCUCUAAUGCUGACUGUCAGCUAUAAAAUGAUUUUAAUGGUUCAUUGAGGAAAUUCAAAGUAGAAGGUUCUUAAUGCUCGGUAGUCCUGAUGAUCUCCAUCAUCGGCUUCAUUUAGGGUGAUUUUGAGAAUUUAGUUGUUGAAAAAAUCGCUAGAUACUUGGUUCAAUGUUAGGUAGUUUUGGUAGAAAAAUGCUCUCUUUGGCUUAUUGUUGCCAAGUGAGAAACCAUGAUUAGCAUUUAUCGAUGCUUAUUUAGGACAAAGGCUGGGAUGACUUCUGCUGCAGAAAGUAUCACUGAGAGCCUCUGCCGGACUCGUCAGCUGAUGGUUCAGGUAAAAUAAGCUCUGCAAGCUCUCCUUGAAAUUUUAUAAUCUUUCUCAGGGUUAGUAUUAAUCUCAAAUGUUUUUGCAGGAGGUGGAAAGAAGUUCUAGCACAUUAGCAACCUUUGGUAUGACUCCUCCUUUUGCUAAGUAGAUUUACUUGCUAAUCACAUGCUUCCAUGAAAGUAAUAUUAGCUUGCUGUGGUUUCUCAUGGUUUGGUUAAAGAAGACUUAUAGCAUGGAUGUAUUGACUAUGUAAUCCGGAAGCAGAUAAGCGUUGUUUCCCUGGAAAAAAAUGAGAGGAAAUUUUUGUAGGUUGGAAAAAGGCUUUGGAAGUACCAUGACUAUUCCUUUCAAUCUUGUAUGAGAUUUGCCUCGAGAAGUUCAGCAAGGUUCCUUUGCCAAAUGACUUAAUAAUUUCUCAAAUUUGAUAUUCAGGAUUCCUAAUAGAAUGUAUGGUGCCUAGUGGCGAGUGCUAUUGGAUUUCAAUAUUGUGCAAAUUGAUUAGUAUCUGUUGUUAAUGCUCCAUGCAAUUAAUGAGGAUGAUUGUGUCUCAUGCCUACAAGUAUAUCUAUUCAACUUAGAAUUUCUGGUUCUUCAAUCUUUGUAGAACUCUUGCAUAUCUCGUAAUUACAGAUCCAAGUUGAUGAUAAAUUUAACUUUGAAAAACCUAGCAGCGUAGAGGAGCUACUUGUUUGUAAUUUGGUAUGUAUUAAUUGAAUAAGAAGAUAGAAAAUAAGAAACAAACUAUUUGCUGUAUUUCAAAGUUUACAAUGGGAAGAGUCUGUGAAGAAAACCUCAAAAAUGGACUAUCAAGAAGAAAUGUGUUAAAGAAGGUGUAAGGAAGUGAAUUCUCGAAAUCUGAGGAUUAGACUUCGUCUAGAAUCGACUGAUUGUCGAGGGUAUGAGCUUCGGAAGGUCCGGAGGUGAUUAAAAUGCAUAAAGUGCAUUAAGGAAGAGUCCGCGAGAGCAGCAGUGCAAAAUCUGCACUGGAGCAGAAUUUGCUCUCGGGGACCGGUCCCUGGCAGGGAGGGACCGGUCCCAUCAGGCUGGGCUGGCGGGGAUCCUUGAUGCAACCGGUCUCUCGCAGGUAAGGACCAGUCCUCGAACGUUAACCCAGCGAAAAAGGCCGAAAUUUGGCUAAGUCCCGAAAAUCCAACUCUCGGGAACCGGUCUCUCGAACAAGGACCGGUCUGCCGGGGACCGAUCUCUCAGGCUGGGACCGGUUCCCGAAUGCGAAAUCCCCUCUGCCCAAAUAGGAGGCUCUUGGGGACCGGUCUCCCCGAGCUAGGACCGGUCGCUCGCUGCGAAAUCAGCCCAGUGAAGGCUGUUUAAUAGAUGGAAAGUUGAGGGGUUUAUUUGCAAAAUGGCUUAUAUGAGAGGCUGGGGGACCUCUCUUCUCUCACAUCCCUCUCAUUUGCUCUCUCCCUCUUAUACUCUUUCUCUCUCUCUCUCUCUAGAAAGAAAAGAAGGAGAAGAAGAAGGAGAGGAAGAAGAAGAAGGAAAAGAAGGGAAAAAGGAAGGAGAAUACUAAGAAGAAGAAGAAGAUCGUCUUCUCUCUCUCUCUCCCUCAAGCUUGGAGCUUUGUUUAGAGGUAAGCUCUAAACCCUUUAAUGGUAUUUCUAGGAUUUGGGGUUUUUGUUGCUUAGAGAUGGUUCGAAUGGAACCUAUUGAGGUUAAGGAGAUGGCUCGAGCUCGAAAUUGAAGCUCGCACCACGGAUUUCCCUAUCGUUGCCAACUUAGGGCACGGAUUUGGGAUUUAUGGAAAUUUAGGGUUUUGAUCUAUUUUAAUGGGUCGCAAACCUAAUUGCUAGGUCUCUGAACGCGUUGACGAAGACGGUUCGUCGAUCCGACGAGCGAGUGUGAAGAUAUUGCCGAAACUGAUACUUGAGGGUUCGCUUUGCCCCGAGGAGUUAAAGCGACGUACAAGGACCGCGACGUCGAGUUUGUUAACUACGCGGCACUACCAAAAGGUGGGGGAAUGCCAUCCCGAAGCAGUCGAGCUGCUUUCUAUGUCUGAGUUCUAUCGUUGAUCCAUUACAUAUUGUAAUAUAACAUCAUAGGGUGUUUUAUGCAGUUGUUACAUAUCUAUAUUUGCAUGCUAGUGUAAUGUGGCUUAGUUGAUAUAGCACUAGAACCUAGUAUGCAUGAGCCGAAUAUGAGAUGGUUAACCCUAUAUGUGUGGAUGUACAUGUAGCCAUGGAAACCUAGUACAGUGUGGACUAGCAUAUUGCGAACUUGUCAAAAGAACGAGUGGCAUGUAGUUAACUAUGAACACAAACGAGUGGCAUCUAGUUGACGUUGAAUAUGAGAACCCUAGUGUAGUCAAAACACUAUGAGCUUGGGUAUUGGAAUGCUUGAUUCUAUGAUGAGACCAACUUUAGUUGGUAGGACCAGUUUGUGAGUUCAGAUUAUACUCACAUAGCCUGUCUGCGCUUGUCGGGGUCGCUCCCCACAGGCUGUGCACUCCGGAGUAUUUGUCACUCGAGGGGCAGUCGCCAUGCGCUGCCUGGACAGUCAGUGUAUCUGUCCGCAGGCGGUCUCGGGGAAUAGUUCAGCGAGGCUUUUCCCUAUGAGACUAUAAACGUGAGAUUGUGUUGCCGGAUUGAUCGAAAGAUUGGGUAAAGUAAUGAACAAUCCUUAUUGUUGAGAUAGUAGUAUGGUAGCUACGAAUUCAGUAUGAAUGACAUGCAUGCAUGAUUCCAGAUUGAGGUAUAGUUAGAUGCUCAUACAUAUACUUGCUUAUUCCUCGUUAAUGCUUUCAGUUUCGUAUAUAUCUAUCUAUCUGCAUAUCUAUCUGUGCCUUCUUAGACCUAGUGGGAAGAUCGGCGGAGUCGGCGGCCGUACCCACUGGGAACUAUUCGUAGUUCUCAUCCCACUUUGUUGCAGGUCCGAGUUCGAGUGUCCCCGGCGAGCGUGAGGAUCGUGGCAAGGGCAUAGCGCCCUAGUGAUAUAUGUACAUAGCUAGCUUUAUUUCCUUUUGCAUUAGCUCUAUCCUGUACUUAUAUUGAGAGUAGAUGUUGUAUAGGGUGAGGUUUUGAGAGUCAUUGUACAUAUGUUUUGGAAGAAUGUAAAAGAUGAAAUAAUUGUAUAUAGUUGAAUGGAGGUAAUAGAAUAGUUAAGUAUCUCUCUUUUAUCACUUGUAUGCUUUACUUGUGUUGCUUGCUCUUGGUUGAUAAGCACUGUUUGUGCUUCGUCGUCGUUGUUUGAUCAUGUAUGUAAUCAAGUGCAUUUCCUGGGAGCUUGUGUACAUGAUCUCGUCGUUGAGGCCUUGGGCGAACAGGGGAGUUGCCGUCCGUUUGGCGGUCCAUUCGCCGCGCCCGAACCGGACCAAAUCGGUAGCGGACUCGGGGCGGGGGCGUGACAGAAGGCAUUCCUUGAUAGUAAUAGUUCCAUGACUUUAUAAUAUGUCAUUGAUUGGACAUCAUUCAAACUUCUUAGGCUUGAGCUUUCUGAUGUUUAUCUCUCCUAUUUUACUUGAUAGCUAUGAUGUACGGAUACUUCAAAUUUCAUGCAGUACUCGUAUUGGAUACAUAUUGGACACCGAUAUGCGCCCGAUACGUGCCCGAUACGGGAAUGAAGUAUCCGGCAAUUUAAAAAAUAAAAAAAAUAUCGGAUACGGCUUGGAUACAGGGGGGAUACGGCCAGAUUUUUUUUUGGCCUAAAAUGAUCGGAAUUUUCAAAUUUUUUUAAAAGCCCACAUCCAAACCUGUUGAAAAUAAGGACAAGAGUGAGAAAAACACCAAUCUCUAUUUAGUUUGUCAUUUCUUCUAUCUUUUUGCUCUUGAAUAGUAGAAAGCGCUCCCUCUCGUGCUAUCUCUACACAAUAUUAAGCCAUGAUUUAGGUCUUCACUGCUUCUCUUUUACUCUUUUUCAUCUAAUUUGUCAACCUAGCAUUAAGCAACAAAGGCUAUAAAGAAUAUGAUUUUUUUUUCUUUUUUAUUAAAUUGCUAGCAUAUUUUCUUUUAUUACUAUUUUAAUAAUAAAACUAAUAGAACAAACAUAUAUGUUGAAUGGUUAAUUAUCUAGUUUGUGUGACUACAUAUCUAUUUAUCAUUUGAUCAAAUUGGAGAAUAAUUGGGUGAUACUUUAUGAAUUAUUAUUUCAUAUGAACAAAUGUAGGACAAUUAUACAAGUUACUGUAUAUUAGAAUAUAUUUCUUAAUAUAAUCCAGAUAUCCUACUUGUUAUCAAUAUAUCAUUACAUAUAAUCAAUAUAUAUUUAAGUAUAUUUAAAUAAUACUUUAUACAAAUAUACCCCGCGUAUCGUAUCCUGGAAGUUUUAGGAAGUGCUGUAUCACCGUAUCUGUGCCGUGUUGUAUCCGUAUCCCCGUAUCCGUAUCUGUGCAAUAUAGCUUGAUAGGCCUAAGAUCUUCUUUUGCAACUCAUGUUAAGACAGCUCAUUUUCUUAUGCAUUUGUAAGUUGGCGAUAAUGUUCAGUUUUAUAUUUUACGACUAUUGAACCACAGUUAACUGCUGCACUUUUAUCUUGCAUUCUUUUUCAUUUAUCAGAGGAAUCAACAAGUGUCCUAAGGAAGGCUGAGAGCGAGUACAAAGGGCAUCGCUCUUUGCUUAUGCGUACCUGCCGCUUGCUCUCCACAAGGCAGCGUCAGGAUGUUAUUGACAGGUUAGCGCCUUUCAAUUUUUCAUAAGCCAAGUUUAUGCAUGCAGCUGACAAUUUUUUAUAGUGAGAAGAUACUUUAAUCAGAACUCAGUUUAUGGGUCCCAUUUGCAAUCAACAUGUACUAACUGUCAUUUCCAUGUAACAGGGUCAUUCUGGUAAUUGGGUUUCUCAUAUUCUUGUCUGCGGUGUUGUUAGUUUUCUCGAAAAGGGUUGGCUUGUUGACGUUACAAAGGAAACUUGUGGAUGCUAUUAGAUCAGGUUCAAUAGCAAAUGAACAUGUCAUUCAAGAUGUCCAGAGAUUGGCAGCGGGAACCCAGGAUAAUGCAGUUCCUCAUGCAGAAAUUCGGCAUGUCUAUGAUGAACUAUGAAUAGGUGAUUUCAACAGUUAUUGGAUUUAUGAAUAUUUCCUUUGUAGGCAGUUUAAAAAUUAUGCAGGCACAUUUUUGUACACGAGAAGGCUUGUAUCCUGUAAUGCAUAACAUCUAGGCAGUUUAAUCAAAUUGGUAUCUCUCGUUGAUGCCUAUUCUUUCAUAUGAGAGUGGCAAACUUUCUCAGUUGUUAAAUUGUACACAAACAAAUCCCUGCUUUGCAGUAACAUUUUUUACUCUUAAUUGUAUUAUCUCUAUAAAAACCCUUUAUUCUGUUAUUUUUCGCUUUCUUCGGGUAUAUAUCGUGUGAUAGUGAACCUCUUUCUGCUUUCCUUCCACUCCUAUUGAUGAUUAGACACGACAUAAUACCCUAGCAGCAGGAUAAGUUGGAUGAUGAAGCAACUUGGUUCUUUUGACCUAAAAUGUUGUUUCCUGUGUGCAUUAAAGUUCGUCAUACUAGUAUUUCUCUCAGCAUGGCCACAACAUGCUUUUCUUCUCACUUUGCCCCCUUAAAUUAAUCGAACUCAUGGUGUAGAAAGUGUUUUUAGAUAUCUACAUUGUUCGAUUCUGUAAGGUGACAACAUUGUACAUUUCUGGCUCUUGCAAUUCUCUGCAGUUUCUGAAGUAUGUUUGGGGUUCUCUUAUUUUGUUGCAUUCGCUAAUUGACUGUUACAAUACAAAAGUUUCCGCAAAGGGAAUUCCAAAAAUCAAAAUCAUAAGUUAUAUGAUCAUUCCUUAAAAAAGGGAAAAAAAAAAACUACUUGCAUGAUAUUUCUUAACAGUAAGUGAAAUGAGCAACUAUGAGGUGAAAACUACAGUACAAGUUUUACGACAGAAGCGGUUUUUCGAUGUCCUCAGUUUGCUGUGUUGAUACUUUUGAAGUCUCUUCUGAGGUAGGAAGAAGUAAUCCUUCUUUCUUCUUUGCCCACAGAACUAUGUACAGGCCGGAAAAUAGAACUAGUAUUCCUGCUAAGCUGCAGCAUGACAUACCCAAUUAGUCGAUAUUGAUCAAAAGCGUUAUGAUUAAUACUUUCUUUUUGACUUGUAGAUCUCUUUAUUUGGUUGGAGACAGCAAAGAGGAAGAGAAAAGAAUAUUUCAGCUUUUCUAUUUGGAAUGAGACUCGAAAAAUGAAGAUAACUGAAGAGAAAAUAAGCUCCUCCUAUAGUGGAGAGAAUAGGUAAUAACAACACUAUUAAAGACCCAUUUUCGUUUCUCUUCAUUUCUCUACUUUGUUAUCUCCUCUCUUAUUAUUCUCACCCAAUCAUAAAGAAAUAAAAUUCUAAUGAUCUUGUUGUUAGAUGUGAUUUUCAUUCAUACCUUCCUGGUUGUAUGACUUGCCCUAAGAAAAUUGCUGAGAGGACUGUUGUACCCACAGUUUGAGUGGGGCUAAACAUGGAGACAAUCACCACUACAGGAAAUUAGUUAAAAGGCGACACUUAUUUAACGGCUUUUUGAAUUGGGCCGGCCCAAAAUAGUAGCCGAAAUUAUAUAUUGCUCCUCUCUUUAUCUGGGCCUAGCCUAUAAGUAAUUAGCCAUCUCCUUCUCUUUCUCUCUCUCUCUAGGCCCAAAUUAAUUACCUAUCUCUCUCUUUCUCUCUCUCCCUCUCUCCUUCUUCUACAUAGACCCAAAACCCGACACCUUGCCCUUUCUCCCUCGCGUCUCCUCCAACCUCUUCCUCUCUAGGGUUUUCUCCUCAACCAUUUUCUAGGGUUUUAGACUCGUCCGCUCCUCUCAACCUCACAUACGAUGGUCGGAUUGGGAAGGAUCGUUCGCCGAGGUGAUCCCCUUUGAGCUCGCACGUGAUCGUCGCUUGGGAGGACCUUUGCCGAGGUGAUUCCUCUUGAGCUCGCACGCGAUCGUCGCUUGGGAGGACCUUUGUCGAGUCACACGCGAUCACCGCUUGGGAGGAUGUCACGCCUCGAGCUCCGCCUAUUUGGUCGGAUUCGGGCCACGUCAACAGACGCCGAAUGGACAGCACCUCCCCUGUCCGCCCAAGGCUCCAACAACAAGUAUAAUUAAGCAACUCAAACAACGAGAUUGCAAUUAUACAAGGCUUGCUCGAGGGCAAGCAACAACAACCACAAGUGAAAGCAAUCUAACUAUUACAUUCAUACAUUGUAACUUGAUCAUUUUCAAUCAACUACAAAGCUUGUACAUUUACUUUACAUUCAGUCUUCCAAUUUACAUAACCAUCUCUCAAAUGAAUUAAUUACAUUUCAUAUACAAUUUACAUUCAUCAACAUAAUAGAUGAAAUAUACAUAGGAUGUCUCUAUAUACAACGGUAGUCCGCUACCUAGAGCACGAUAACCAUGCCACGAGCCCCGCUCGCGCUAUAACCUGCAUGGUUAGUGGGAUGAGAACUACAACAAAGUUUCCAGUGGGUUCGACAACCGACCUCGCCGACUUACCCACUAGGUCUAUUUAGGCAUAUGUAUUUCAAGAAGGAAAGAUAGCAAACCAACUAAUGCUACUACUAAUACAAUGCCUGCAAGAAAAUUGGUCAAUAAACAGAUAAUCAUAUGUAUGAUAAAUGCAUGCAUGCUCUUUCCAUAACUUUACUUUGGCUUUUAUCCAAUCUUACCGGUUAACCUUGUUAACCUCAAUAACUCACAACCAAAAAUUUCUUAAUAACGGGGGACUCGAACCACCCUAGGGACCGUCCUCUAGGGGGACUUUACCACGCCCAGUGGUGACCAACUUAGGAGCGCACCGCCCGAGGGGGAGCUACCUCCCUCAAGCUAAGACUAAUCGUGAGUAUUGAUCAAAUCCUCAACUUGAGGAUAUAUAGCCACUAGUCACAAUGCCACUGUCAUAAUAGGUUUCUACCUAUUUAUUCGUGCCACUUUUUAGUUUACUCUUGCCAUAAUGCCACUAUGCCACUAUAUCAAUGACAGGUCUCUACUUGAUCAUAUAUGCCAAUCUCUAGGCUACACUUGCCAUAAUGUCAUAAUUGGUUAAACUAUAUUUAACAAUUUAUCUCUCAAUGCCAAUUUUGUCUCUAUUGUCAAUGUCACCUUUGUUUACUAUUGUCAAGUCCAAUUCUCGCAUUCAUACAAUCUUUAGGGUUCUACCAUACAUGUCCAUUAUGGUUCUUGUUCAAUCACUAUGUUCAUCUACGUUAGAAGCGUAAUAUUGAAAUUCUAACCAUUAAUCACAUGUCAAACACCCUAUCAUGCAUGAAUGGUUCUAUACAUAAAUAUGCUCAACAAAAUUGAAAUAGACAUAAAGGGGAAUCCGAUGAUUCCGGUGUACACCUCCCACCUUGUAGGAAUGCCAAGAAGCUACGGUUCAAAUCUCGUGAUUUUUGGGCGCCUAUUUUGCGUGCUGCGGCCAUUUGUACCAAAAUAGAGCCAAAUUAGGCUUUUUACUCAAUAUCUAUACUUAGACCUUUCUGUUUGGUCAAACCGAGUUUCCCAAUGCGUCGAGAAUACCCCUAAUUAGGUUUCCACAAGGUCAAUUUAUCUCGAAAACGAUCGGGGGCAAAAGCCCCAAAUUUGGUGCCCUAACAAUGUCAUAUUGCAAUUUUUCCUUAGAUUGAUCUUAGAGCUAAGCAAAACUAACUUAGAAUCAUCUAAGAAGUUCUCUAAUACCAUUUCUAAGCCAUUCCAAACAUUCCUAGGGCAUCUAACAUGAACCCUAGCAAUCCACCAUGUGAGCACCAUGAGAAACCUAGGUUUUCAUGUGUUCUUUGGCCAUUAGAGGGUUUCUACACUUGUAGAAGCUUCAAAACCUAGCUCCCUAGGGUACAAAACCAAACCCUAGACUCAACUUUACAUAAAACCUUACUUUGGUCACAAGCUCACCCAAGUCCACCUUGUUGGAGAGCUCCAAGAUUUUCCACAAGCUCCAAAUCCUCCAAAAAUCCACCUCUAAUCUCUUCCACUUGAGCUCUUGGAGGAGAUUGUAGAGAGAGAAAGGGAAGGAAAUGAGGGAGGAUGAUGAAUGGUUGUGGGAGAGAAGGAGAGGGAGUAUUAGGGUUAUAACAUGUUGCAACAAUAGCAACCAGGCCCCCCACUUCUUUCUAUUUGCAACAGUCUUCAAUGUUGCUGCCAGACCAAAGUGUACCGAUACACGGAAUUUUGUACCGGUACAUUUUCUGUGCAGAGGCAACCCGAGAGCAAGGUUCUCGGUUUCGUAGCAUUUGUACCGGUACACUUUCAAAGUGUAUCGGUACACUUUCAGUUUUUCUCUCAAACCCGAGAGCACACUCUACUCGGGCUACAGGGCUGUACCGGUGACAACUCGAUGGUUGCACCAGUACCUUUGCUCCAGAAUGCUGUUUUAGCUCCGAUUCGACUCUACUUCGCGCCGGUCGAUGCUAAAACUUUUCUAAUCUCUCUUAAACUCAUUUUUAAUCCUUCCAACAUUGUUGGAAUGCUAAUUGCAACUUGUCCAUCCAUCUUUUUCGCAUACUUUAGUCAAUUUGGCUAAAGUUCGAUAUUUGCUACCGAGUUUCGGCAUGUUACAGAGGACCUUCGCCGAGUGCUUGGGAGGAAUCGUUCGUUCACCUUCAUCAUCCUUCUUUCUCACUAUUUUUUUUUGGUAAGUUUUGAUCAUUUUUUGAUUUUUUUUCAUUUUUAAUUAUCAUUUGUGCAUACACUCUGUUUGUUUAUAUUAAUCUUUACCUAGUUUUUUUCUAUUUUUAAUUAGUAUUUUUUUAUUUUUAAUUAACUUCUGAUUCAACUAAUCAAAUCCACCAACAUUUGGAGAAUUGUGACUAUGACCAAUUUUAUAGAGUGUAAUUUAUUAACUGAUCAAUAAAUUAUAUAUAUGUUUGAUCUCUUAAUGAUCAAACCUUAUCAAACAGUGUAUUUUUAUAUACUGGACUAAGUCAAUAAUAUCUUUUCACAUUGUUUAUUUUGUAAAUACAGCCAAAAUAGCAGCAUUAAUUGUUUGAAAAAAGUGCUGGUGUUAAAAAACACAUGCCAAGUCGGAGAGCUUAAAUUGAUAGAUAAAGAAAUUUCUCAUAAUAUAUAUACAUCAGAAUUUUAAUUUGUGUCCAAUAUGGGAGUAAUCUUCUAUGUAAUCUCUCAACUGAAUGCAUCGGAAUAGCAUUGACUCAUUAGGCUAAUUCUGUAGAGAAAACAUGCAAAGAGAAAAGUUUCUUGUUAAAUGAGAGAUUUGUAGCUCUGAUAAAUCAUAUAGGAAAGGUGAUUUGUAGCUCUAAUCUAAUAUUUACUCCUUAAAGUUUGACCUUAAUUUCAUUUAGACAGUUUAAAUUGUAACAAUUUAGGCAGUGAAGUUUGUUCAGAUGACAAUUUUGUCCCCAUGCUAGUUCACAGUCCAAAAAAACACCAUGUCAAAAUCAUCAUUAUUCUUUGCUUUAGUAAUACUGAAACAAUGAGAACCAAAACUGAAAUUGGGCUCAAACUUUCAGGGUUAAAUUGUUAAAAUUGCAAUUUGAGGACGAAAUUGAAAUCUUUAGGGGUUAAAUUGCUAAAAUUGCAAUUUGAGGAUGAUAUUAGAAUCAAGUCAAAUCUCAAGAACUAUAUUGUUACAAAUUGAAACUUGGAGGGAGGAAUUGAAAUUAAGGUCAAACAUAAGGGACUUAAUUUCUAAUUAACCCUCUCAUAUAGUAACAAGUAGAAUAAAAUGGAAACAGAAUUGAAGGAAAGACUUGCAGGAUACCUCAUCAGAUAUCCCAAUAGGCCUAUUUCUUUUGGAUACGUGAUCAGAAUCAGCUGACGGGUAAUCUAUGGUAGAGUUGGCAGUUGUAGGUGUCCUAGGAUGCUUCAAUAUUGCAGCUAUGGAAAACAUGAGGAUAAGUCAGAUUAUCAAAUCAAACGCACUAAUUAUACAGUGCCAAUUUACAUCUCCCACAAAAAAAUUUGUUCACAUAUAUACCCCUGCCAAACUGGAACUUCUAUAUAUACACUUCAAAAGUGCAUUUUCUUACAUGAGUACCAUUACCAUUACUUCAAGUUGAGGAGUCAUCCAACUCAUAAAGGAAGUCAGUUUUGUACUAAAAAAUGGUUUUGUAGUAGAAAGCACUUUCUUCGGGGCAUUUUAAAAGUUAAAAGGUAUAUAUGUAAGAAUAUAAUUAUUUGAAAAGCUCAUGUGAAGAAUCAGAUUCCGCAUGAGCAUAUAUGUAAAUAGAUAAUAUUGCAGGGACACAAAAACUUGUAGUACCAGGAUUUGUAGGAGCACCCAGUCCAAUAGCUCCACCAGAGAUAGCUGGAUGAGUUACAUUAUUCCUGUUGCUAAUUUUGGUCUUCAGAACAAUUGAUCAAAGAAAAAGAUUAAUUCUAGCCAUGGAUGCAGCAUUUGUGUAAUACACUGAACUUUUGCAAAUUGUGAAGUUCGAGUGAUGGAACAGUAAUUGGAACUAUUCUACGACUUUUGAAGGAUUGUGAGAGGUUUUCAGCAAGUUACUGAAGCAAGCAAGUGGCUGGAAGUGGAAAAGUGCAUUGCAAAUGCACUAUUCAACUAUAAUACUCUGAACUUGGUCAAUUGCGAAAUUCGAGUGUGGGAUGGGUAUUGGAAGCUAACCCACAUCUUUUAAAGAGUUGUAGUAAGGUUCUCGACAAGUUUGAGAGUGAUCAGGCCGCAGGAAGCGAGAAAAUGCAUUGCUACUGUCUAUUUUGCAAUUCUGCAUUGUUGUACCGGUACAAGCAUUAUUCUGUACCGGUACAACAGCAUCAGUAGCAGCAGCUGCGUGGCAGCAUGUCUCUUUUGGUCUUUUGGGCAAUUGAUCUUAUCCCCUCAGGCCCUGUUCGACCCCUGAAGUUACUUGGGGGUUAAGGAAGCUCAGAGGAAGGGAAUUUCACCUCAUCCACUUUCUCUCUCUAGAUUUUCUCUCUCCUUGAGAGGAAAUCAAAGAUUUAAGCCUAUUGCUUCCCUUCUUUUGCGUUUGCUUGUUCAGGAGUCUUGGAGCAGCUGUGAGAGGGUAGAAAGGAGUCUUGGGUGAGGCGUUUGCGCAGCUCAAACUCAGUCGGAAGCUGAGUCGAAGUUUAGUGAGGUGAGCUAACUUAUUUUCCCUCUCUAGCUUGAUGCUAGUGAUGAAGUGAUGAUGGUUUUUGUUCCUUGCUACCCGCAGGAUUGGGAAGGUUUAAAGCAGCCAGAGAAGAGCUAUUUAGCUGUGAUUUCUCUACUUUAGUUCAGGGAGAAGCUGAAUUGAGGCUUGGCAAAGGUGAUUAGUUAACUAAUUACUCUAUUUCGAAGCUAUACAAGGUUUAGCAAUGAGUAUUGAUGCUGAUUUUAGGUUAUUAGCUGACAGCAGCUAUGAAAAUCACUUUGAGCUGAGAUUGUGACCUCGGGAGCUGGUUUGGAGGGUGUUUCAGCUAGUGGUAAGUAGAUUUCCUGGCUGGAAAUCUGAUUAAGUAAGAUUUCAGCCUAUACUAUGUAAUUGUAUAAUUGUACUAAUGCUGUUUUGGUGAUUGUUCGCAGCAGGUUCACAGCGGACCGUUUGAUCUCUCUCAGCUGAUUUUUAGAAGCUUUCGAAGAUUGAAAUUGGUACAUUAACCUGAAGCGAAACAGAGAUUCGAGUUAUAGCAUCGUACAAGGUGAAAAUUGACCUCUUUGAAGGGUUUAUGUCGCAGCAAUUGGUUAUCCAUUUCGAGUUGAAGUUAAUAGUAGUGAUAAGCUGGAUUAGGGUGCUGUAACUCAAGUCGAAGUAGAGGUUGGACCCUGCUUUGAACUUAAGUGAGAUUCUAACCUCAAUUGCGCAACUAUAUAAGCGUAUUAAUGCUGAUUUUGAGUAUUUGCUCGCAGCAGAUUCUCGGUAGAGUGUGGAACCUUUCAGUUGAAGGUUUGGUGGAUACUAAAGGUUAGGAUUGGGCAUAUUCUAACCUACAGCAAGGUGAUCUUACCCCUGGCUCCAUUUCAAGUGCGGAUUUUGCUUCAACUAGGUGAAUUGCAGGGUUCUUAGGCACUUUGACAUAAAGUAAUGAGUUGAACUCUUAAUUGAUUUUGGAUUACUUGUUAGGUUAGCAAGAAGCCGCGGAUAUCUCAUUCCCGAACUCGACAAGAGGUGUCGACUAUUUGGUGGGUCGGACCUUCCCGAAAUGAGUGAAUUCCCUCUAUGUCUUCUUUGACAUUAUGAAUUGGAAUGGUGACAUAUUCACAUGCAUGUAUGGAUAUAUGAAUGUAUAGGGACAUGCACUGAAUGUCGAAUAGAUCAUAUAUGAUAAAACCUCUAUCUAUAUGGAAUUGUCUGGUUUAUAUAAACUGCUCGCUUGAUUAGCAUGUAGUUAUGUUAAAGGAUGAUUGGGUGGACACUGGAUGAUUGGGUGGACACUAAGUAUAACCUCCUUCAAAGUGGAAUAACUGUAAAAUUAAAAAUAUGACUUUUGGUCAAUUGAACAGCUGAAUGAAUGAUGUAUUGAGAUAAUGUGUCUUUGAACUAAAUUACACUAGUUGUACACGGUAGACAAGUUGAUUGAACUUUCAGCAUAUCAUAUAUGUGAACUACAUGUUUAUGUAAUGAUAUGUAAACCAUGUUAACAGUACAGUUAAAGAGGCUUCGUAUACAUGUACUGCCAAGUUGAUUAUUGUUAUCACAGAAUGAUUUCUAGUGUUGGAUUAUAUAAUUAUGAUUUAAUUAUGUAGUUAGAACUGGUAUUGUAACACAACAUGGUUGUUAUAGUAUGAACAUAAUCUAGUGAAUAACUAGAGUUGAAUAUGAUGACAUAUCUGUAUAAUUCAGUAGAGUAAUUGCAUAUUACUUGUUUACUCCUAGUANUUGAUUAUUGUUAUCACAGAAUGAUUUCUAGUGUUGGAUUAUAUAAUUAUGAUUUAAUUAUGUAGUUAGAACUGGUAUUGUAACACAACAUGGUUGUUAUAGUAUGAACAUAAUCUAGUGAAUAACUAGAGUUGAAUAUGAUGACAUAUCUGUAUAAUUCAGUAGAGUAAUUGCAUAUUACUUGUUUACUCCUAGUAAAGAGUGAUGAUGUGGAAUUAUAGAAUAUGUGCCACGAGUCAAUUGACAUGACCUUAGAAAACUACUUCCCUUGUGUAUAGAGAAUAGGGAGAGGACUCUAUGGAGUAUGUGUGGGUAUAACCCAUCAUGAUGUAAAAUAUAUAUACUUGUUUAAGUUAUACUAGCUAUUGGUCAAAGUAUGUCAACAAGUAGUUGAUAGUAACCUAUGAUUUGAGUACUACAGUGUCGACUUUGCGUCGAGUUGAGAUUCCAUGUCAGAGACAUGAUGACGUUGUGAUACUUAUGCUAUAGAUUACAGCUUGCAUGCCAUUGUGCUCUUUCGCACAUGCUUGUGGGGGUCGCGCCCCCCAAGCCAACGCUCCGGAGUGGCUUAGCGACAGAUUGCUCGCUUAUGUACGAUUUGAGCGCCGAAGUGGAUUGCCGUGGGUAGUGUUGACUUCCAUGGGGCCAUUAGGCACGGCGCGGCUAGGACUUUACCUUGUGUAAGUCUCUUAUGAAUUGGGUUAUUAUGAGUUACUUGGAUCUUAGACGGACAAAGUAGUAAAGAGACUGUAUGUCAUUAGUCGAGUAAACCUAGUAUGAACUUACUAGAAAGUUGACAUUCUGAUUAAUUAGUAGUAUAAUGACAGUAUGUUUACACUUUUGGUUAGUGUAGAAAUAACUUCAUAAUGUCAUCAACUAGUUAAUGAUAUUUGGUAUACAGUCUAACAUAUAACUAGUUAAACUGUUGAGUGGCAAGAUCAUAAAACCUAUUGCCAUGAACCAGUACAUGAAACAUAUUAGUAAAUAUAUCUUGAGAUGACUGUCAUGAUUGAUCUACUUUAGUACUUGUUGCAUUUACUUGCUUAUCCAUCAUCAUCCACUUAUGUCGCAGUGACCUAGUGGUGUACUUCGCCACUCUCGGCGGCUUACCCACUGGGAACUAUUGUUUAAUAAUUCUCACACCCUCUUUGUUGAUGUUUUUGCAGAGUCUUCCGCAGCGGGAAAGACUAGGGUUCCUGGCGAGGGGUCAACGGCUAGCUAGAGCCUCCUUGACGUUAAAUAGACAAACCCUUACAAGUUUAUGCAGUUUUGAUCAGUAUUGUAUGUUGAAAUCAUGUAAAUUGUACUCUAUCCUUAUCUGUUGUAUUAGAGUUUUGGGUUGUAUAAGUUUAGACUUCUAAUUGUGCUCUGAUUACCUAGUUAAGUUAAGAUUUUGUUACUACAUUGUUGAUUCUCUUUGUAGACGCCUGGUGUACAUUGUGAUGGUUGGUGUACACGGCGGGUCUGUGCACGUUACUGCGAGUUUUCGCUGAAGUCCAGGGCAUGACAAUUUGGGAUGGAGUAUUUGCAUGGGAAGAACAUAGUUCAUUUUGACCUAAAAUGUGAAAAUUUACUAGUGAAUAUGCGAGAUCCACAUCGACCUGUCUGCAAGGUAUGACCAACUUCAGUUUUUUGUCAGUCUUGAAUUCAGCAUUUAUGUACUUGGUCUGUAUUAGUCCAUCUUCUGGGGUGAGUUUCAAGGCAACUUUAGUAUGCAGCUUUUUGUGGAUAAUGAGAGCAAUUUAUUCUUCGAUUAAUCUUAGGGACGGUUUGGUAGAAAUUUGUUUCAUAUAUAAGCAAGAGUUAUAACAAUAAUUAUGGAUUGGUUAUGUAAAUUGCCCCUUUUCAGAUUGGUGAUCUAGGUCUAUCCAAGGUGAAGCAACAUACUUUGGUGUCGGGUGGUGUUCGUGGAACUUUACCAUGGAUGGCGUCUGAGCUUUUAAGUGGCAAAAGUAAUAUGGUAUCAGAAAAAGUAAGAUUAAUCAUGGCGAUGAAUGCAUUGCUUUCAUCGUUUAUUAGGAUACUGGUCGAUGCUCUUAAUUACUGAGUCAAAGUAGCAAUUUAGUGUCUUAUAUAUGAAGAAUACAUUAUUCUUUCUCGUUGUAUUCUUUUUGUUGUUAGAUCGAUGUUUACUCCUUUGGGAUCGUCAUGUGGGAGCUGCUUACUGGGGAAGAGCCGUAUGCUGAUAUGCGAUGUGCUUCCAUAAUUGGUAGGAUUACAACAUUCAAUUUAACUCAAACUACUUAUUUUGGAUUGCUAAAAACUAAAACCUCUUGGGUUGUGUUCUGGAAAUUCAUUGUGGGCUUAAACAGCUUAUACAAGUAAUGAGUUUGACACCUGGUUUUCUUUUUUUGUAUCUUCAGUUACUGUUUAAGGUGAUUUUAGAGCUUAUCUUUGAUAUUUUAAGGUCUUAGCUCUUGUCAUUACUAUAGCUAUAAUUUUUUGGAUGAAACACAUUACGUCAAAUGAGAAAUACGGAAGGUUCUAUAUAUGCAACAUGAGAUAGGCAGACUAUGCUCUAGGAAGGGAAAAAAAUCAAGCUGUUUAUGCAACAAAAUGCGAGUUAUGUUUUGAGGGCUCGUAGAUUUAGCAUGAUUACAUCCUGCAUGUUUUCUAAUAACUUUUUAAAGAGAUUGCAAAGUAUUCUUAUCUUAUUUAUAUUGUGUUCAUUUAAGUUUUUAACGAGCUGUUAGUGAGGAAACUUUCAUCAUUAUGCUUUCUAUAGGGGGGAUCGUGAAUAACUCUUUACGUCCUCAAAUCCCAACUUGGUGCGAUCCUGAAUGGAUAUCUCUGAUGGAACGUUGUUGGGCCUCUGAUCCUACCGGGAGGCCAUCUGUCACGCCCCGAGCCCGCUACUAAUUUGGUCCGGUUCGGACAUGUCGAACAGAGGCCGGACGGACAGCACCUCCCCUGCCCGCCCAAGGCUCGACUAUAGAUCAUGUACAAGAAUUUGUCCAGGAAUUUAAAUUCAAUACAUACAUGAUCACAAAGAGCACAACUAGUGCAGAUAAGUAAGAGCAAGAUACAAGUAUGGCAUACUAGUAAUUAAAGAGAGAUACGUCUAUCUAUUACAUCCAUUCAACCAUUCUUUUACAUCAAGUUUACAUUUUGUAACUUGCAAAAUGGAUAUAUAUACAAUAAUCCUCCAAAAUACAUAAGCAACUCCCAAAGUAUAAAUACAUCUCCUCACAGGAUACUCUAAUGCAUAGGAAGCUGCUAUCUGACUAGGGCGCUAUGCCCUUACCACGAUCCUCUGCCGGCGCUCUCUCGCUAGGCCCUGCAACAAAGUGGGGUGAGAACUAUAUAAAUAUAGUUCCCAGUGGGUUCGGCCGCUGACUCCGCCGAUCUCCCCACUAGGUCUAAGCAGGCAUAAGCAGAUAGGUAGAUAGAUAGAUAGAUAUCUAAAACUGUAAACGAUGCAUAUUGAAAGAAUUGCAAUAUUCUACUAUGCCUUGAGAUUCAAGAAUGAACAAGAUAGCCAUGCAUUUGCUAACAUGCUAUAAUACCAACAUCGAGUAUGAAUACAACUCUACAAUGCUCAAUAUGCACAAUAUGCCCAACAUGCAUAACUCUCUCUCUUGAGUUUAUUACCCAAUCAUCUGGCUGGCCCAUAGGCGCGCCCUCAACUCACAUCUCAAAUCCGUCUAUGAAGGGGGACUCGAACCACCCGAAGGACUGUCUGCGGGACCCCACAUAGGCUAUCCCUUGGGACCCUACAUAGGCUAUCCCAAUCGAUUCACGUGCCAAACUCCGGAGCGCACUACUUGUGCGGAGCGACCGUCACAAGCGCUGAACAGACGUGUGAGUAUAAUCCAUUCCUCGUCUAAUGAGGAGAUCCGGUCACUAGGACUACCAUGCCACAAGUGUUCUUUAACACUAAAUUCUAAUGCCACUCGUCAAGUUGUUUACUUGGUAUACAUAUGCCACUCAUCAAGUUAUCUACUUGGUGUACAUGUCACUUGCCAUAAUGCAAUCAUCCCGACUAUACUAGUCAUAUGUCCUCAUAUUCAACCAUGCAAGAUCAAGUUAUUGUUUAACUUAUCUCUAUAGGGUUCUAUGUCACAAAGCUCAUUCUCAUGCAUUCCUAAGUUCACAUGCCAGGCCUACUAUGCCGCAUUACAAAGGAACAUGCAAGAGUAGUAAAGUAACAUCUAAACACCCUACCAUGCAUGAUGCUAUAUAUGUAUGAAAUGUAAUCAACAUAGAAAUACUUAGACAUAGAGAGAAGCCCAGUUGCUUCGGGAUGGACACUCCCCACCUCUUGGGUAAUAUCGCGAUGCUAGGUACUCGAUUUUGCGAUCCUUGGUCGCCGCUUUCACUCUUCGGGUCAACACGAAGCCCCGAACACUUGUUUCGGCUAUAACUUCGCGCCCGCUUGACGAAUGCUUAAUCCGUCGCUUCCCACGCGUUUAGACACCUAGCAAUUAGGUUUACAUAUGAUCAAUUUAGAUCAAAACCCUUCACUUUCAAAAAUCCUAAUUUGGAGCCCUAAGUUUAACCAAUGCAAGAAUCCCCUAUUGGAGCUCUAGAUUCAAGCAUAAUCCAUCUAUUAGAGGAGCUAGGGUUCCAACAAAACCAUUUCUAAAGGAUAAAAAUCCAUCUAGAGGGAUCUACCAUGAAAGCUCUCAAAGCUUACCUCAAGAAGCUUGCUCUAAUGGUGGAGAGGAAGAAGAAGAUGCCAAAGAUCCUUCUCCUAGCUUGCUCCUCCACCAAAUCCUCCUCCUUCUUCACCUUCUAGAGAGAAAGAAAGAGAGUUUAGAGAGAGAGAGGGAGCUAGGCCUUGGGUGUGAAAUGAGAGAAAGAGAAAGUGCUUUCUCUUCUAUACCCCCAACUCAAGUCACAAUUGCAGUUUAGCCCCUCCACUUUACUUCUCUUGACUUGCCCUGCCUGGGCAGUUUUCGCGCACGGGGACCGGUCCCUCAAUGGACAGACCGGUCUCCGAGAGUAGUCUUUGUGAGCAGAGGCUGUCUGCCAGCCUCUACGCGUAUGGGGACUGGUCUCUCCCUGCCAGGGACCGGUCUUCGAGAGUGGAACUCUCAGGACUUAGCCAAAUUUUCCUCUCUUUCGCAAGUUGUGCGUACGGGAACCGGUCCUCGACUGAGGGACCGGACCUUUAGGGACCGGUCCUUGCCCGAGAGACCGGACCCCGAGAGCAAAUAUCGCGCGCAAAGUCUUCUGUCUCUUUUUUUUUUUUUUAGCUUACGGGGACCGGUCUCUCCCGCCAGGGACCGGUCUCCGAGAGCAAAAUUUGCCAAGUGCAGAUUUCGCACUGUUUGCUCUCGCGGAUCCAACUCUAAUGCACUUUUUGGAUUUUAGACAUCUUCGGCUCUUCCGAAGCCUACCCAAUCGACAAUCAGUCGAUUCUAAAUGAAGUCCAACUCUCGUAUUUCGAGAUGCAACAUGAGAUAGGCAGACUAUGCUCUAGGAAAGGGGAAAAAAAUCAAGCUGUUUAUGCAACAAAAUGCAAAUGAGUUAUGUUUUGAGGGCUUGUAGAUUUAGCAUGAUUACAUCCUGCAUGUUUUCUGAUAACUGUUUAAAGAGAUUGCAAAGUAUUCUUAUCUUAUUUAUAUUGUGUUCAUUUAAGUUUUUAACAAGCUGUUAAUGAGGAAACUUUCAUCAUUAUGCUUUCUAUAGGGGGGAUCGUGAAUAACUCUUUACGUCCUCAAAUCCCAACCUGGUGCGAUCCUGAAUGGAAAUCUCUGAUGGAACGUUGUUGGGCCUCUGAUCCUGCUAGGAGGCCAUCAUUCUCUGAAAUUUCUCAAAAGUUGAGGAAAAUGGCUGCUGCAAUAAAUGUGAAGUGUAAGUAUUGAUGAUCCAUGCUGAAGAGCUUAAACUCAUUUUGAGGAAGUGAUCGUAAGAUGCUUCGACCUAAGGCUAUAGUGUUCCAUAGAUCUUGCCGGCUUUUGACGAGAGAGUUAUCUUCUCAGAUAUAUCUUAAGUUCUUUGUUGUUGCCGUAUAUGGCAUUUAUUCUUCAUGUAGUGCGACUACCAUUUUAUCAUAUUUGUACAGUACUUGCUUUCCUAUGGAAUAGCAUGAAGGUUUGAUUAAAAUGUAAGUUGAAUUUCUUAGCUUUUGUUAUUCUUUUUCAUAUCAGAAAGUUGUUUCAUUAUUUAAUAUCUACCUUCUCAUAUUCAGGAGUUAUUGCAGAGCAUCAAGAAUCUUUGGCUGUUAUCUGGCACUGGUAUAUUAUAGUCUUUUUCUUCUCGGUAGGAGUUGGUAUGUACUAAUGUAAAUAAAUUUUGAGUUGCACAAUCUUCUGCCCUUAUGAGGGGACAGUGCGUCAUGCUUCGAUUAUGAGAACUUUAUCGCAAUUUUGCCAUAUUAGCCAGUGAGGAUGAAUCUCUAUGUUGGACCAUAAAUAAGUCAAAUAUAGAUAUCUCCUAUUAUCCAUUUUGUAUAGAAUUUUUUAGAAGAAUAUUGUCUUUUAUGUAUGAGACAUCCAAUAGCUGGCAUGUAUUACCUGGCUUUUCAUUCCAGUUCUUUCUAUCAUGCAUAUAUUAUAUUAAUCUUUACGUCGUGACUCAGUAAAUGCAAAUAUAUUGUUGGUGUAUAUAUCUUUGUUUUCUUUUUACUAAUUCAGUAAUUUGAGAUUAAGUGCUUAAAUGAUCUCACAUGCCAAGCUAACAUAAGCAACGCAUUUGACAUCUGAAACAUUAUGCCAGGCUCUGACAUUUGCACACACAUACUUAGUAGGAAAAGCAAUCAUAUGUUGCCGAUGCCACCAAUGUAUCAGUAGCUAACCACAUCUAAAUUACAAAGUACUCAAAUGAUAAAGAAGAUAUUCUCCUUCAACAACUCUCCGACACUAAGGCAUAUAUUUAGAAGACCCAACAAGAACACUAGGAUGAUAUUAACGUUGGGAUAAGUCAACUCUUCUUAUCCAUGCGAAAAAAACAAUGCUUUGCAUCUGCUUGUUUUGGCAGAGUGUGCCAACUUUGGAGGCAAUUUGAGUGGGGAAGUUCUUUAGGUGACUCUGCUCCAUCAAGUAAGAAACUUCAAGUAUUCUCUUUGGAGGAUUCCUACGUUCUUAUUCCCAUAUCACCUGACAGGUAUACUUUCAUUCAUUUUUGUUUUUGUGUUUUUUUUUUUCUUUCCUUUUUGUCUAUUAGAUUUUGAUUCACUUUUGGAUUAAACCUCUAGUGAUGACAUGCUCCAAGUUUGACUCCAACUAGUGGUUGACAAUUCGCGGUUGGAUUCGAUGUUUACAGAAAUAACUGGUCAACUAAACAAGGACAAUUAGUGCUUUUACUCAUCUUGUUAAUAUGUGCAUGGUUUAGUUAUUAUAUGAUCACUUGUAAUGAAAAGUGUCUGCAGUUUCGGGCCUUGUUGGUGUAAAUUAACCAAAUACUUGGAGAGUUAACAUUGUUUUUCACUUGUUGCCUGUGCUUUUUUUGUUUCGUUUUUCCUUCCACUGUAGAUAAUUUGCCAACAAAUGACUCAAAAUCCUGGUUUGAUCGAAACCGGGUCAAUGUUUUCGCCUCUUCAAAUUUAGGAUUAAUUAUGAUAAUUUCUCUUUUCAGGGAUGUUUGGUAGAUAGAAUUUCACUUUCUUUUUU
rnacentral:lncRNA from 1 species